AAACUUUUACCCAUUAAUUCCAUAAACUCCAUAUUUGAAGUUUUAAUACAAUUUCACUUAGCUGCACGGCAUACACGUGCUUGUGAAAAAAACUUAUUUCUCCAUUAUUUAAUAUGUAACUUCAUAAGGCACCAAGCAGCCAUUCAGUCAAGGGCAGAACACAACCCUGUAAUUGGUCCCACCAGGGCAAGUAAAUAGGCUUGUUUGAUCAUCUUUAGGGUAACUGUAAGCAUCGGGGCAUCUUGCCUUGAAGAACCUCGAAAAAUCCGUUGGGACACAAUUCCCUGAAUUGCAACAAUAUUGAUCCGUUUUGUAGACCGUGCAAGGGUUAUUGCACCCACCUGGGGCUUUCAACUCAUUAGGGCACUGACCUAUGAUAUCAGCUGUGCAUCGAAUACCCCUGCUGCACCGGCCAGAUGUCGGACUAAAUUCCAUGGGAACAUUAAAUCCAUCAACCAGAGAGAUAUCAAAGAAAUCCAAGUUGUUGAACUGGUUUAAUGCGAAUUCAGCCAAGGUGUUUGGGGCUACACCAUAGGCGUUGCACUGAAGUAGGCCCCCACAGUCACCGGUUUGGCAUCUGCCUCGUCCGGCUCUGUCAAAUUGGCAAUUGGUUCGACCCCAGAUACGGGCUCCUGUAGUGCCAGGAUUCACUUUCAGAUUCCAAACUCCGCCUUUGCUCAGCUCUCUGCCACCACCAGGAACGGCUGCUGCCCAGACCUUGUAAGGACAGUUGUUUCGAAUGUCAAAACUGGCAGCACUGGCCACCGUGAAGCAGAGAGCAAUAAAAGAGAUUGAAAAUAGAGAGAGGCUUUUGAAGUUCAUCUUUUAUAUUAGCUUUCUACUUGUAUGUAGUGUGUUAGGAAAUGGUGGAUUUAUAGAGUUGUGAAUGCGGUUCAGACCAAUAGCUAAUGUAAUCAUAUAAAUGUUGGUGGAGGUAGGAAAUUAUCGUUGUAUUGGCAUUAGAGGUAAAAGUCAUAUAGGAAAUUGUAUUGGCAUUAUAAGUAUAUCGGUGGUCCAUUUGUAAGUGUAAUUAAUGUGAAUUCUAUUAAUUUUUUUACUUAAAAAUAUCAAUUUUAUUUUCUUUUUUUAAUCUAUGUAUCUUAAAAUCUUAUUUUAAAAAAUAAAAUAUGACUUUUUUAAGGAAAACAAAAUAUGAAAAUUAAACUUUAGGUUAACUUUUUUUUUUUCAAUCACAUGAUUUUAUCUUUACGAUAUAAUGAAAGGAAAAGAUAAUAUAAAGUUUAAAUCCAUAUCAUCUAAAUACCAAAUGAAAAUUCAUAUCAUUACUCUAAACAAGUCUUCACCAAUCAAAUCAUUUUAUUAUAACCAUAUUUGAUAAACUUUUUUUUAAAACUCUUAUAAUUGAUAAACUUUUAUAAUGUACAAAGUAAUAAAUGAAAAAAAAAAUGUUGUCCUAAUAUCCAAUGACUUCACGAGUUCUAACUAGUAUCAAGAAAAACAAGCUUUCAAAAAGACAUAAGUUAUGGAUAAAAAAUUAUUUGAAGGGUAGCUCUCUUUUCUACUAAAUCGUCCAUUUUAGGGGGAAGGGGGGGGUUCAUGUUCUUCAACACCUCACCUUUGUAAUCAAAUUUAAACCCAUUAAUGAUGAAUAUCCAUUUCGUGGUGAUUCAUUUUUUAGGAAAUCGAAUCUGAUUCAAAUGAAGACUUAAUAUAGGAACCAAGGUGAAGGGUUUGAUGGGAGGGAAUACCAGGACAAAUGGUGUCCUCUAGCUCUUUGGAGUGAAAGAUUAUUAAGGUUGAUUCAAAGGUACCCUUUAUUUCUCUUAUAGGGUUCAAGUUUUAGAUCCACUUUAUUUCUCUUUAAUGGGUUUUCUUAUUUUUGAAUACAAUGAUUUUUUGUGCAUUUUUCCAUCUCCAUCCAAUAAUCAUCUGAAGAGCCACAAUUCAGCUUCACCAGACUCCAAAAUACCCAAAUUCACGAGGAGAGGGCCAUACAGUCCCCAACCUAGGUCCCACCCCUUUCGAACACGGCACACACAAUCUAGGAUUCAUCCACCAUUGGGAUUCAGUCACAAUCCACCCUUCCUUGGAUGCUUUUACAAAGAGAACGAAGCUUAGCAAGAAACAAUUUUUUUUUAAAUUUAUUAUUUUUAUAUAUUUUUGUUGAAUUGUUUAGAUUUAGGAUCAAAUUGAGAACACUUGUAAAUUUUGAGGGCUAAUUUUUUAAAAUCAUGACUAAAUUGAUAUAAUAUGUAAAAGUUGUGGGCUAAAUGAUUGAACUAUACAAUGUGGGUGCUUAUUAUUUUGGGUGCCUAAAAUAAAAAAAAUUUGAUAGUUGGGUGACUAUCAAUGCAGUUUCCCAUAUUAUUAUCAAUAAUAUAUAAAUAACUUUAAAAUAUAAACCCUGAAAUUUUUUUAAAUGAAAAAACUUUAAAGAGCUUAUGAAAAUAAUGAUCUACUCUUAUUUAUAAGGUAAGUGUGAGCUAUGAUAAUAUUUUAGUUAAUGUGGGAUUGAAAUUAAUCUUUUAAUUUUGUAAAAUGCAUAUGAGAGUAUGUAUAUUUUUUAUUUUAUUAAUUUAUUUGUAAAUUAAAAAACCCUCAAUUUGUAAUAAAAAAAAUUAUUGAGGAUAAAUUACAUAAUAAUUUUUAUUUAAGAAAAAAAAAGAGCAAACGUUAAUGCUUAUAAAAAAAAUUUAGAUAAAAAAAUAAACGGUUAAAAUAUAUUUUUUUACUCAUAAAUAUUCUUUUUAACUAAUCAUAAAAAUUAAAGAAAUAUUAAUUAAUUUAAAAUAUAAAUAAUUCAUGUGGAAAAUUUGGGUUUUCCACAUCAAUUAGGAGCCUAAGACCUUCUAAUAUAUAAUAUAUAGGAUAUAUUUAUAUUUUAAGAAUAUUAUAUUAUAUUUCAAAUUUCUUAUUUAUAAAUUUUAUAAAAUUAGGUUAACAAGUGCGUAAGGGACAUGAACCUCUUUCAGAACAUGGUGCAAUAUCCAUAUUUCAUAAAUAAUUCAAAACAAGACCUCUAUGGUUUAAGAAGAAAUUCAAAUUAACUAAGUCAUUCGUUGCAUAUUUGGGUAGUCCAAAAUCAAAGUGAUAUGGGGGUAACAUCCAAUCUAAGGUAAUUAAUAGAUCAAAGCAAAAAAAAAUGUUUUGGAUUAAUCAUAGAGAGGUCCCUAAAAAAAUGUUUUGGAUUAAUCAUAGAAAGGUCCCUAAGUUUUUGUCACAAGUUAAAAGAAAGUGCCAUGUGUCAUCAAUCAAUUGGCUAAUAGGUCAUAUAAAGAAUCCGUUAGUAGAUUAAUGAAAAUUUUAAUGACAGUGACUAAUUUGAACAAUUAUAUUAAUUAGAGGAACCAAAUUGAGAAAAAAACCCUAUUUUAGAAUGAUCUUAGGUGUAGUUUACCCUUAUACUUUUAUGUGUGUCUAAAAUUACUAAUUUUUUUAGAGAAAAUAAAUUCAUUAAUGAGAAAGUCACAAAACAAAAGCAAACACAAAGAGGAGUCGGACUACUAAACCCGAGCCAACAGGCUCACCCCAUACACCCGAUCUUACCGUCCGCAAUCCUCACUUGUAUCAACAUAAAACAUAAUUUCAACAUUAUUCAAAGAAGAUGCCAUGUGGUUUGCAUAUAACAAAGCCACUCACGCAAGUGAGUGGGCUGCCCUAUUGGCCUUUCAGCACCAAACAAUCAUGUAGCAGUGAGCCUAGCUCAGAUGCAUCAAUUGUACAUGCUUUUUUUCCAUCAAACUACAUACCCAUAGUAGCCCAAAACACAUGCAGUUUACCACAUAUAUGGUCCAACUUCCGAUAGUACGCAAUCCUCCAAGAUCUAAUGAAAAACAAGGGAGCCACUACACCCCAAAAUCCCAUUACAAAGCCAAGAACUAUACUGACAUAAAGCCAAUUCACUUUACUUCCUUCAUUGCUACUUCCAUUAUUUGCAACAUCAGUUGGAAUACCUUUUGAGGUGCAGUUCUUAGAGAGAGGAGGUCCGCAAAGAUGAUUGCCCACAUAAGACAAGUUUUCAAAGCUUUGAAGUUGAGUGCUUGUUGGGAUUUGUCCUGUCAAGUUGUUGUAGGACACAUUGAAGUGAUUCAAGAAAUUUAAAUUGGAGAAACUUGGAGGGAUUUCACCAUUUAGUCGAUUCAUGGACAAAUCAAGAGAUUCCAUUAACUCCAUGUUGCCAAUGCUGUUUGGUAUAUUUCCUGUUAGGAGAUUCCCUGAAAAAUUUAAAGACAAUAGUCCAACGAGACUACCAAUUUUUUUGGGGAUCUCUCCUGUGAGACUGUUAGCUGAAAGGUCCAUGCUCGUAACAAGUCCUAAUGUGCUACCAUAUUCAUCCUCUUGUCCUUUCAACACCAAUAAUGCUUUCAAAUAAAAUUUGUAAAAAUUUGAAAGCGACAAAGAAAAUUCAUUAUUGGUUUUGAUUUUUGUGGCCAUUGCACUUAAAUUAUUGAAACAUUUUGGAAUAACUCCUGAAAUGUUGUUGUUGGCAAGGUCCAAGUUUUGAAGAAAUUGAAGAUCACAAAUUUUGUGAGGAAUAUGACCAUCAAAGUUAUUUGAUCGAAGGCUUAGAACCACAAGGUUCGAGAGCUUAUCACCAAUCCAUGCUGGUACACUUCCACUGAAAUGAUUUUCACUAAGAUCAAGCAUAACUAAACUCCAAGAAUUUCGCAAUGUGUAGGGUAAUUCUCCAAACAUGCUAUUAUUUCGAAGGUUUAUCAAAAAAGGAUAUGUAUAUCCCAAAGUAGGUGGGAUUUUCCCUGUCAAAUUGUUGUUUGCUAAAUUUAAAUAAGCUAAAAUCUCCCAAUGAUUCCAACAAUCUGGAAUUUCUCCAAUGAGUAGAUUUGUAUCAAGGUAAAGAGCUACCAUUCCCGUUAAUGAUGGAUUACAAAUUAAUUCGGAAAGGGAUCCUGAAAAUGAAUUAUUUGACAAAUGUAAAAUACAUAAAGUUGAGAUUACUCUUGGCAAUGGACCUGUAAAGCGGUUUGAACUCAAGUCAACAGAGUCUCUCACAUUCAAAUAUGAAAUCUCUCCUGUAAGUUGAUUCGAGGAAAGAUUUAAAUAUUCAAAUUGAGUGGGAAGGUUUAAAAACCAAGUGGGCAUGACAUCUGAAAUUCCUACAUGGAAGAUAUCCAAAUAAGACAAUUUCUUUUGAAAUUUUAACCACUGGGGAAACUUUGGGCCAAGAUGCCAAUGACCCAAUUCGAUUCUUUCACAUUGAAAUGGGGGAAUCCAAUUUGAGUUUGGUUCAAAUCUAAGCCUAUUAUCAGAUGCCUUUAGAGUUGUCAAUCUCGUGAGAUUAAAAAAAUGGGCUUCGAAUACAACUCCUUCCAAUAGAUUAUGCCCAAAAUCCAGUGUUUCCAAAGAUGAUAACUCCCCUAUCGAUGAUGAAAUGGGACCAGAAAUUUUGUUUUGAGCAAGGGACAAGUAAGAUAGAUUUUUAAAUUGUCCAAGUUGAUCAGUUAAAUGACCAGAAAGUUGGUUAUUGGUCAUAUCCAAUGACUCUAAGGAAUCCAAACAACAUCUAGACAAACUCUGUAGGAUUUCUGAUAUUCCACCUUCAAUUUUAUUAUUCGAAAGAUCAAGGUGAGUAACAGAGCUCAAGUUUCCAAUGGCACUCGAGAUUGUUCCUUGUAACUGGUUUGAACUAAGACUAAGGAACUGAAGACGGUUUAGACUAUACAAGGAAUUGAGUAUGGAUGAAUUGAGAUGAUUCCAACUAAGAUCAAGAACUUCAAGAAACGAGGUGUUCCCAAAGUAAUCUGGAAUUGGGCCUUCCAAAAAACAAAAGCUAAGAUCAAUGGACACAAGACCAUGGAGACUAGAUAUCCACUUAGGUACUGAAGAAAAGUGGUUGGAAGAAAGAUCAAGAACAACCAGUGAUUUUGUAGAAUUAACACUAAUCGGCGAUGGAUAAUCUUCUAAGCCACAAGCUGACAAGUGCAACUCUAAUAAAGAAGGAAGUUUGAGUGUUACCUGUACCCAAUCAUUUGCUUUGUGAAGAUCCGCAGAACUCAAAUCAAGGUACUCCAAGGAAGAAAGUCCAGAAACCCAUUGAAGACUUUUUGGUUUGAGAUAAUUACCACCAAGAUCAAGAUAAUGCAACUUUGAGAGAUUCCCAAGGUUAUGAGGAAUUGCUCCCUGGAAUUGUGCAUUAGAGAGAUUAAGAUAUGUUAAACUCUCCAGCAUACCCAAAAAUUUUGGUAUCGGUAUGCUACCAAAAUUGUUAUUGCUUAAGUCCAGAAAACUGAGAUGCUUCAACUCCAACAGUGAAGGAUUUAUGGCCGACUGGUCGUAAGAUGAAAGAGCAGCCAAGUGCAGUUGGUGGACGUGGCCUGUUGAGUUAUGGCAGACGACACCAAUCCAUUUACAGCAAUCCCCUCCUUCAACCCAUGAAGAUAGGCUGUUUGAAGGAUCAAUAAGAUGAUUCUUGAAUUUCAAAAGAGCUUCUCUCUCACUUGGAAUGCAAAGUAGGUUGGAAUUGGCAUGACAAAUGGUAAAACAGAUAGCGGGAAUGAGAAGAAGAGAAGGGAAAAAGGAAAUUGGAAGAGUAGUCAUGGUUGAAAUUGCAUGCUACCAACCAUUGCUCACAACUCCAAAUAUAAACUAUACGCAACAUCAUACUAAAAUAUAAUUUGUCUUAUUUUGACCACGUUAAUUUUGUAUUUCAAUUUAGUUAUUGUUGUUAAAAUAAUUGUUCAAAGUAGUUAAUCUUGUUAAAAUAACUCAUUUUUCACUAACAGAUUAUUGAUAUAGCAUAUUAGCCCAUUGAUUGACAACACAUGAUACUUUUUUUGUUAAUUUUUGACUAAACUUUAGAUACCUUUUUCUAAUUAAUCAAAAACAUUUAAAAAAAAAACUAUAUUAAAACAAAAAAAUUAAAAUAUAAUUUUUUAUCAAAUCCAUACAUAUUUCCCCGUCAACUUUGACUUCAAUGUCACUACCACCCCAAGACGACAAUGAUACCUGCAAAAAUAAUAAAUGAAGGAUUCGGGCUUUAAUUAUGGAAGAACCAACUCAACCAAGUAGCUGCUUUUGCUUGCUUACACUGUGGUCUGUGGCUAAGACAACGAGGGUUGUAGUCGCAGUUGUAGUUAUAGACACAAGGGAAGGGUUGGGGUAUAUCCAUGUUGAAGCAAUGAUCGUUGACCAUUAGAGCUUGGGUUGUGAUGCUUUAGACAAGGACGACUCUAUUAGUUCCAGAGUUGUUUCGCUUUUGGUCUAGGGUUUCCAUUUUCAGAUCCUUGUGCUCGUAAUCUAUAUCCAAAUAUGAAUCCUGUUAAGUAUAAAAUCAAGUGGAAGCUAGAAAUAAGUGUCACAUUUAUUGAAGAUAGAGCCUUACAAAUGACAAAUAUAUAAUCACAACUAACACCUAUAUCAUGUAUAAAUAAUGAUCAACACUAGUUUAAACAAAUGUAGAAAGUUGUUCCUAAAGAAUAGGACUUAUUGGAACAGAAAAACAACUUUGAAAAUACUAAAUAAUUCAAACAAUUCCUCCCAUAAAUUGUUCUGCAUAUUUGCAGUCAGGUUACUUCUCUACAAAUUCCAAGUUUUUCCCUAAGCUUUUCAAAUGUCUCUAGCUUCAACGCCUUAGUAAUGAUGUCUGUUGUCUACUCCUUUGUUCCACAAUGGAUAAGCUCAAUAACUUUAUCAUUAGAUAAUUCAUGAAGGAAGUGGUACCUUACAUGAAAGUGUUUGUUCCUUCCAUACAAUAUGACAUUCUUUGAUAGUUUGAUGGUGGAGGCAUUGUCACAAUAUAAUGUGAUACUUCAUUUUUGAGGAUGAUUGAAAGCAUCCAAGAUUCUUCUCAUCCAAACUGCUUGACAAGCACAUGAUGUUGUUGCUACGAACUCUGCAUUGGUGGUAGAUAAGGUCACUACUUGACAAGCACUUUCUCCAAAUAGAAAAGCCUAUCUUGAAGUGCUCCUUCUGUCAUCUUGAUCCCUAGCAUAAUCACUGUUUGUGUAGCCAACUAACUCGCCAAUUCCACCUUUUUUGUACAAAAUGCCCAGUUCCGAGGUUCUUUUUAUAUAUCAAAGGACCCUUUUUGCUACACUAAGAUGAAGUUCAGUAAGUUUUUCCAUAUAUUGACUCACCAGUCCAACCAAAUACAUUAGAUCUGGUCUGGUCGUAGUUAAAUAUCGAAGAUUCCCCACAAAUUGCUUAUAACCAGUGACAUCUUCUUUGACUCUAUCUUCAUCUUUCACAAGUUUUGUUCUUGGAACAAUUGGACUUCUAACAGAGUUGCACCUUAACAUACCAAAUCUCUCAAAAACUUUAUUAGCAUACUUCCUCUAACUAAUAAAUAUGCCUUUAUCAUUCUAUAACACUUCAACUCCAAGAAAGUAUUUCAUCUUUCCAAGAUAAGUCAUUUUAAAUUCUCGCAUCAUAAAAUUUUGGAAGGCUUUAAUUAUUUCCUCAUCAUUUCUCAUGAAUAUGAGAUCAUCAACAUGCAAACUCUUCCUUUUGAAUCAAUUUGAAUAAUAAUAGUAGGUUCAGAUGGGCACCUUUCAAAACUAUCUUUUGUAAAAUAGGACUCAAUGUGACUAUACUAUGCCUUUGGAGCCUGCUUCAAACCGUCCAAGGCCUUCUUUAAUUUGUAGACUUUAUGCUCCUCCUCUUCUUUCUCAAAGCCACAUGGUUGAUCAACAAAAACUUCCUCCACCAAUUCUCCAUGAAGGAAAGCGCUUCUAACAUCAAGUUGUUGGAUAUUCCAACCUUUUUACGCAACCAUUACAAUCUCCAUCUGGAUUGUAUCCCAUUUUGCAACUGGUGCAAAAACUUCAUUGUAAUCAAUUCCAUAUUUUGCGCAUAUCCCUUCACCACCAAUUGUGCUUUGUAUUUGUCAAUCUCACCAAGGUCAUUUAGCUUGGUUUUGAACACCCAUUUUACUUCGAUCUUCUUUGCACUAACCGAUAAUUCCAUCAAUUCCCAUGUUUCAUUUUUUUUCAAUGGCUUGAAUCUCUAGUUUCAUAGCUUCAAGCCAUUUUUCGCAUACAACAGCUUCUUCAAAAGUGAUUGGAUCUGCUACGAUGUAUAGAACCAAGUUAUUGACUUCUUUGUCUUCAUCAGAAAGGCCUAGUCUUACGCCACUCAGAUAAUCUUUUUGCCACUCUAGUGCUAUUCUAUUCUCCCGUCUAAUCCUCUAUUGAUCUAUAGCUGGAAUGUUCAGACUUGGUGGUUCUUCUCCAACUACUUCCUCUAUGUUUGGUACAAUGAUGUUAUCUUCACUCACAUCAUCCUUAAGAGUAAUAUCUUUCCAUUCCAACUCUUUGUUUGCAUCCUCUGAAAUUUGACUCCAAUCCCAGCCUUUAUCUUUUUCAAAAACAACAUCACGACUUACCACAUUACUCCUAGAAACUAGAUCGUACAAUUGAUAAGCCUUUGAUUCAUUGCUCACACCAAAGAAAACACACUUGUAGCUUUUGUUGUCUAACUUUGUUCUUCUUUGUUCAGGUAUAUGUACAUGGGCAACACACCCAAACACUCAGAAAUGGUCCACAAAAGGUGUAACAUUGCUCCAUACCACUUCUGGUGUUCAUCUAUUCAUGGCUACUGUCAUGCUCCUGUUCAUCACAUGGGUACACCAUUCAAUUGCUUCUGCCUAAAACUCUUUUGGGACAUUUUUUUCAGAUAACAUGCUUCGAAUUGAGUUCAUAAUAGUUAGAUUCCUCCUCUCUGCUACUCCAUUUUGUUGUAAGGUGUAGGCUAUAAUCAAUUGCCUACAAAUACUAUUCUCCAAUCAGAAAUUAUUAAAUUCAUAGGACGUGAACUCUCCACCCUUGUCUAUGCAUAAGCAAGCUAUACACUCACCACUUUCAUUCUCAACAUAUUUUUUAAAGCUCUGAAAUACCUCAAACAUCACUGAUUUGUAAUGCAAGAAAUAGACCCAAAAUUUUUGACAAAAUCAUCUAUAAAACUGAGUGAGUACCUCUUCCCACCUAUAGUAAUCGGUGUAAUUGAUCCACAAAUGUCAAAAUGUAUCAACUGCAAAUUUCUUGAUGCUCUCCAUGAACUUUUCUUUGGCAUUUCCUCCCUAUGUUGCUUUCCGACCAAACAAUGGAGACAUACUUUGUUUGGAAUGUUGAUUGUUGGUAAGCCAUGAACUAACCUUUUAGAUUGCAUCAUACGUAAGCUUUUGUAGUUCAAAUGACCAAACUUGCAGUGCCAUAGAUGAGAGAUAUCUUUUGUGGUAGUUUGGAAGCAUGAUGAAACCAGCAGUUGUGAACAUGGUAAAACAAUAUCUGAAAGUACAAAACGUUCGAUUUCUAGUCAUUUUGGUUGUUACAAUGAGCCCUCUUUGUGGAUAAUACAACUUGCACUCAUCCCCUUGAAUCAAAAUAUCUAUCCCUUUCUCCUAAAGCUGUCCCAUGCUCAACAAAUUAUUUUUUAGAUCUGGAACAAAGAAAACUUCAGAGAUUACCUGUUUAGUGCCUUCAAUCUCUAAUCUAACACUUUUUUUCCCAUUACUACCAUUUUCGUAUCAUUUCCAAGCUUGAUGGAGUGUCGAAAGCUUUGAUCAAGAUGAGAAAACUAAUUUAUUGUUCCCACAUAUAUGAUUCGAGCAUCCCGAAUUAAGAAAUCAUACGCCAUCUUGUUGUGAGUUAUGUGUCUCCACACAUGACAUUAAGAGUUUCUCUUCCUUUUCAUCAAGUCCUACAAAGUUAGCUUUACUCUCACACAUUGGACAUUUAUACUGAAAAUGCCUCAGUUUGUGACAUUUAUAGCAUUCUACCCGUGUUUUGUCAAAUGAUCUCCCUCUGUCUCUUCCAUGUCCUCUAUAUGAAUUUGCGCCACAUCCUCUACUUUCAAACCUUUCGUUACUAGCAACAACUUUUAAGGCAUGAUCUUCUUCUCUUUCCAUUCUCUUAAACUUUUGUUCAUGUACAGAUAAUGAACAUUUCCAUUCAUCAACUGACAUGGUAUGUGUAUCUUUUGCCUCUUCAAUAGAUAUUACCACAUAGGUGAAACAUUAUAUCAAAGUCCACAAAAUCUUCUCCACGAUCACCAAGUCAGACAUGAUCUCCCCAUUGCUUCGUAUCUAGUUUGCUACAACCAUCACUUUAGCAAAAUAAUCUUUGACCAUUUCUCCUUUCUUCAUUUCCAACACCUCAAAUUCUCUUCUUAAGGUGUUGAGAAGAAACCUUUUCACUCUCUCAUUUCCACCAAACUUAAUCUUCAAAGAAUCCAACAUGAUCUAUAGCUUGAUAUAGAUAGUGUUUGACCCUGUGAUCCUUCAUCAUUAUCUUGUCCAUCAGUACUUGUUGCACGAUGGUCUGCACAAUCAUUGUUUCAGGCUCCUCGAAGCCUUUCUCAACUAGAUUCCACAAUCCUUUGAACCUCAACAAAUUCUCCAUCUGCUCACCCCAAUGGUCAUAAUGAAGACCAUCAAAAUGAGAAAUCUUUGUAAGACUACCUUCACUCUUUUCUUCACUCAUAUCCUUUUAUUUCCUCAACAACUUGGCUACCAGAAUGUUAAGUAUAAAAUCAAGUGGAAGCUGGAAAUAAGUGUCACAUUUAUUGAAGAUAGAAAGCUGACUUUUAUAGCCUUACAAAUGACAAAUAUAGAAUCACAACUAACACCUAUAUCGCCUAUAAACAAUGAUCACCACUAGUUUAAACAAAUGUAGAAAGUUGUUCCUAAAGAAUAGGACUUAUUGAAACAGAAAAACAACUUUGAAAACACUAAAUAAUUCAAACAAAUCCAUCUCAGAAAACACAUACAAAAUAUGGGUAUAAAGGCUGCCCCAUAGUAAAUGGCUAAGUUAAUUAUGUUUUAGACCUCCUCAUAUUAUUUUCAAUUUUUUUCAUAUUAAAAUUUUAAAUAUAGACAACUUAACAUUUUUUUUAAAUAUUAUGGGCCGGAUAAAUUAUUUUAUGAACCUUCCUUAUCACAUCAGUCAUGAUCCUUACCAAUUAAAAAUAAAUAUAUCAUCUUUUUUUUUGCAUCAUAUGUACAGCUGGUAAGAAGAGAUCGUGGAUGAUGUGGAAAAAAAAAGAUUAAGUACUUAUUUUUAAUUUGUAGGGACCAUGGAUGAUGUGUUAAGGAGAGCUCAUAAAAUAAUUUUUCUUGUUAUGGUAAUUAUUUGAUACACCACCAAUGGAAUUUCUUGGACUCCAUAAGCGGAUCGAGAGUUUCACAAAUACGACAAUUUUCAGAUAAUUACUUUUUUGAUUUUUUUUAUUACGCCCUAUAAUUCUCAUGUCAAACUCAAAUUAGUGAAAUGAAAGAAACGGAAACAGAUUCUACAAAAUUAGUGAAAGUUAAAGAAAUUGGCACAAUUUCCUUUAAGCAUGUAAUAAUUCAGACUAUGAGGCAAUGAGUUGGAAGUAACUGGAUACAGAUAAAGAAGUUGUUUUUCGUUUUUUUUUUUGUUUUUUUUAAUGAAAGUUGGAGAAUACUUUUAAUGGAAAAUGAGUAUACCUAUUCAUGGGCCUGGCCACCUGACACGACCAGAAGAUCUGCUUGAAAAGUGGUAAGAUUUGACAAAAAUAUAGGCCUAAAAAAUGGGUUUGGCAAAAUCUAAACGGUUUGGAAAAAUCUUAAAAAUUUUAUUUUGUUGUUAAUUUUGCUACUAUUUUAGAGGCAUUUGUGUGUUAAGUUGCACCUAUUUUAGUGUUGUUCAAGUAUAAAGAUUUUUAAAAUUUUAUUUUCAAUUUGUUGGGAAACAUUUAUUUUUAAUGUAUUAUAUUUUUAAAAAAAUACUAUAAAAAUUUUAAUACAAGUGUGCCGGACCCGAGUUUUAGCAUGUUUAUCCGGGUUGAGAUUGGACAAAAUUUUAAGUCAAUUUUUCGAGCCAAACCUAAGCCUGAAAUUUUAUCAAUGCCCACCCCAAACCUGACCUAGUGUAUGAAUAGAUUUAGAAAUGAGUAACGAAAAUCAUGGGGGGGGGGGGGAGUAGGGACCGUUGCUUUUGAAUUUUGAUGCUCUUCAUUUCUCUUGCUUUUUGUCAUUAUCCCAAAUUUCCAUGUAAAGUACCUGAAAUUUUAUGAAAGCCCACCCCAAACCCAACCUAGUGUAUGAAUAGAUUUAGAAAUGAGUAACGAAAAUCAUGGGGGGGGGGGUAGGGACCGUUGCUUUUGAAUUUUGAUGCUCUUCAUUUCUCUUGCUUUUGGUCAUUAUCCCAAAUUUCCAGGUAAAGUAACAUUGACCUUGACCUCCAUAGCAAUACAGCUAACACCAGUACUGUUUUUGGGAUUGAAUCACAAAUAUUUAUAGCAUUCGGCAUAUAUAGAUUUGUAAAUUCUUGCUCUAAUUCACUUGAAUCAAAACUCGACCCAAAUUGAACGUUGAUUGUAGUUAUAUUGUUAUUUAACUUAAUGUUUAUAUUAUUAUUAUUUAAGCUAGUCAGGUUGAUGUCACGAGUUAAUCGGGCAGCAAUUCGAUGAAGAAAAUUAUGAAAAUAUCAUUCUGUAAUUAAAAUAAGUUAAUAUUAUUCGAGGGUACUUUAGUCUUUUUAUUUAAAAAACCAAUAAAAACAUAGGCAUAAGAUAAAUUCCACAGAUACUCUUACUAGAAGUUGGAUUGCAUUUUAUCCAUAUUACUUUUAAAAUUAGUAAAUUAGUCCUUGUAUGUUAGAUUAAAGAGCAAAGUAAUUCUUUCUGUUAAAAAAUUCAUCUAUUUCAACUAUAAAAAUUGAUGUAGCUAACAAAUUAAUCAGACAAUUACUUGUGACAUGCCAACGUACAAUGACCAAUUUUUAAAAAUUGAUGUAGCUAACAAAUUAAUCAGACAAUUACUUGUGACAUGCCAACGUACAAUGACCAAUUUUUAAAAGUAGAUAUGGAUGCACCUUUUAACAUAAGGACUAGUUUGCUCUUUGAUCUAAGGUGUCACUAAUCGCUCCCAUAUAGCUAGCUUCAAAUUAAGUUUUAUUUAUUGCUAAGUCUAUAUUAUCAAAGAUGUUAAUGGGUUGGAUUGGUUGGGUUUAUAUAUGAUAUUAGUACAUUUUAUAUUUGCUCAAGCCCAGUCAAACAUAAAAUAUAGGCUUAAAAAUUUGUCUAAGACUGUCCAUAUUUGUAAAUCACUAACUUAAGCCUGUUUUAAGAGAUUUGUAGAACCGGCAAAUUCGUUCAUCAUGUUCUUGAAGAAAAAUGUUCUAUGUUUGAAAAUUUUUUGUUGAUGUUCAUCCAUGAAGCUUUUCGGAGAUCAUGAUGAGUUGUUAAAAAAAAAAAACGAGUGAAGAAAAUAGUACUAUAGUUGAGAAAUUUUAUUCAAAUAUGUAGAAUGAGUUGCAGUUGGUUGGGUGGACCUACACUGGUGUUUUUCAUGCAUUGGCUUGCUUUUUACACUUUCUUCUAUUCAAUCAUUCUCCGUCUCGUGCCUAUAAAUUUUGUGUUUAAUAAGGCCGCUUAAAAAUUAUUUUGCAUUGAUAAUAUAUAUAUAUAUAUAUAAUAUUAUAUUUUUCCACAACAAAUAUAUAAAAUAAUAUUAUAUGUUGUACUUUUUGCAUAAUUAUAUAAUAAUCUUUUAAUUGCAUGUGUUUUAAGGAUCAAAUUGAUAAAAUAUGUGAGCAUUGAGAAAUAAUGGUGUUAUUAUAGCAUUUAGAAAAGGAUAAUGUCUUCACUUUUAUUAACAGAGAGUGAUCAAAAUAGAAACGAUCUAAAACGUUAUGAAAAAACUAAAAAAAUUAUAUAAUUGAGUAAUAAUUAUAUAAUUCCACAAUAACUAGUCCUGACUCAUAAGUAUAGCUUGGGACACAGCUAAAAAGAGCCAUAAAAUAUACACAAAAUGUUUCAAAGAAAGGCAAAGAUAGGAAUGAAACAAAAACAAAUCAAAUUAGUGCUUUUAUAAGAUGGAAAAUUUUACUAAUUUUAUUUUUAGCAUUAUAAUGUCAACUUUUUAUCUGAAAGUUGUGAAUUUCGUUCUUGUUUUGCGCAAAAUCAGUUUUUUUUUUAUUUUUUUAUUUAAAAUGUUGUCGAUGUUGUUUGGUAUAUUUUCUGUUAAGAGAUUCUUUGAUAAAUUUAAUGAUAGUAGUCCAACGAGACUUCCAAUUGGGAUCUCUCUUGUGAGAGUAGUAGCUGAAAUGUUUAUGUUGGUAACAAGUCUUGAUGUGAUAUUGUAUUCAUCUUCUCAUCCUUUCUGCACCAAUAAUGUACUCAAAAAGUAAGAGGCAAUCAGAUGAAAUAGCAGGACCACCACGCAGCAUCAUGCUUAAUUUUUGUGGCCAUUGCACUUGAAUUAGUGAAACAUUUCGAAAUAGCUCUUGAAAUCUUGUUAUGGGAAAGGUCUAAGUUUUUAAGAUUUUGAAGAGCACAAAUUUUAUGAGGCCAUCAAGUUUAUUUAAUCGUAGGCUUCAAACCACAAGUCUAGUGUCUUGAGAGCUUGUCACCACUGAAAUGAUUUUCAUUGAAAUCAAGAAUGACCAAACUUGAAAAUAUUGCAAUGUGGAUGGUAAUUUUCCAAACAUGCUAUUGUUUUGAACGUUUAGCCUUAGAAGAUUUGCAUAUCCCGGAUAAGGUGGGAUUUUCUAAUCCCAAAAACGGAAGAUUCCAUCAAUUUGGAAUUUUUCCAAAUAGGAGAUUUCUAUCAACGUAAAGACCUGUCAUUUGUCGAUCUCCUAAUGAGUUACAAACCAAUUCAGAAAGGGUGGAAAUCCCCCCAGUAGGGAAACUUCCAAGAUAAGAUACCAUUGACUCAAUUCAAUAAUUCCACAUUGAAACAAGGGAAUCCAACUUAAGUUUGGUUGAAAUCUCAAACAUGUGUUUUGGAUGCCUUCAAUGUUGCAAAAUUCGUGAGAUUAGAAAAGUAGGCUUCUAAAACAACUCCUUUGAACAGAUUAUGCCCAAAUGGAAAAGUACCACUUAAUUGAUUUUCUAAAACAUCAAAGAACUUCAAAGAUGAUUACUCCCCUAUAGACAAUAGAAUUGGACAGGAAAGCUAGAAUUUUUUUUUUUUGAACAAAGGAAAGCUAGAUUUUUAAGUCAAUUAAAUGGCCAGAAAGUUGAUUAUCUACGUAUUCAUCGACUUUAAGCAAUCUAAACAACAUCUAGACAAACUCUGCAGGAUUUCUGAUGUCUUGAUCAAUUUUAUUAUUCGAAAGAUCAAGAUGAAUAACAAAGCUCAAGUUUCCAAUGGCACUUCAAACGUUAUCUUGUAAAUUGUUUUUUUUUUUUUGAGUAAGGUUAUCUUGUAAAUUGUUAUAGUGAAGACUAAGGAGUCGAAAUUUGAGACGAUUGGAGCUAAGGACAAGAACUUCUAGAAACGAGAUAUUCCCAAAGUAAUCUGGAUUUGGGCCUUUCAAAUAAUUGACACUAUGAUCAAUAAGACUAAAUAUCAAGUUAUCUUCUAGAAUACGUUUUAUUUGGAGGGGGUAUCCUCACAUUUAUGAGUGCCAUGUUUAGUGAUAGUUAUUGCACCGUCAAUUUUUUCAUACCCUGUUGAAAUUAAAGUGGAUUUUAGGCUCUAAUAUAUAUUUAGGGAAUUGUUCUAUUUUCGAUGUUGAAUUGUGAUGCAUCUUGGAUGGUUUGAUCCUCCUAUGUGAUCAUGGCUACGACAACAUUUUAAUUCUAACUUAAUCAAGAAAACCUAUCAAUUGCUGUUACAAUUUGAGCACUGGCACGUUUGGCACAAAUCCAGAAAUGACAAUCAAGAUGCUAAUAGACUGGUUAAACUAACUCACCAUAAAUUAUAUGAUUCAUGCUUGUAUGAGACCUCCCCGGAAGGCGGUUUAAAUUUUGUAACUAGUUUAGGUAUUCUUUCUGUAAAAAAAAAAAAAAAAAAACAAAGUAAUUAUUUUUAUCAUGCAAUAUUAAAUGAAAGAGAUUAUAGCAAUACUUCUUCUAGAGGCACGUGCACAUGGACAUGCUUUUAACGUGUGCACGUCAUUUAUAUAUUUAUCUUCCAUCGAGUGUCAUCAGUUUAAUUGGAGAUUAAAAAAAAUUCCAAAAAGAAAACAUGAAUAACUAUCAUUCGAUAAAUUUGUUCUGAGAGUCGAAGCAUAACUAUACCAUUAGAUAUAACGGGCACAUUGUAGUAUUUGUUUUCAUACUUUUUUUUUAACUUCAAAUUAUUCUAACAAAUUUCAAUGCCUAUAAGAUUUUCCUUAAAUUACACUAAAAAUUAUUAAAAAUUAUUAAUAAAUUUACGCUUUUAAAAAUUAUAGAAUCACUUAACUUCAAAUUACUUGAGUUACGUCCACCAAUGUUUUUUUAUUAGAUUAACUUUAACAAAAUAAUCCCAAUUAUAUUUACAAAAUUAAAAUGUGACAUUAUAAUAAAUAUAUCUGGACGAGGUAGAAAUUUGACUCUAAAAUUUUUAUUGAAAAACUCUAUCCAACUUGCUCCAAACUCAAUUUUUAAAAACAAAAAAACAAUCUUUGUUUGGCCGGGGUGGAUGGAAUCCCAGCAACUUAAUGGACUUUUGACAACCUCAAUUUCAAAUAUAGGUAUGUAUUUGAUAUGAGUAUAUUAAAAUAAUCCUCACGUACAAAUCCGAAAGAAAACUUAUGUCAAAACUCUCCGCAUGAGAUAUAUCCACGGGAGAUAAUUACAAGAAAUCUUCAAGUAUAAGUUUAUUUUACUUGAUGAUAACGGGCGAAUGGUUGAAAUUAAGCUCAGGGUCAAAAUUGAUUAUCUAAUGGAACUACAUGACUUGGUGUGGGUCUAAUGCUAUAAGAAUUUUGUAUUAUAUUGAUCGACAAAAUAGCCCAAAAAUUGCAAAUAGCUGCGCAAACAUAAGGUUGCAAAGAAUUGCGGCCUUUAAUUUUAUUUUUAAGUUAUCAAUUCUUUUAUUAGUAUGAACAAUAAAUUAAAGGUAUGGCUAGUGACAUUGAUAUGGUGACCUACUUCAAGUGAACUGGCUAUUUAUAUUAUUUUAAAUGAAAACAUAACUAUUGAAUAUCAGAGUAAUAUAGGACAAACCAUGACCCAACAUCAUAGCAAAACACAUGACAGUAAACAAAUCUUCACCCAAUGCUUUAGCAAUAGAUUCAGCCACAACAUUAGUUAUAUUCUCAGGAUAUAUUAACCAAAUCCACACUCUCAAUUAUAUCUAUGUAUGAAGAAUCUAAUUGAAGACAUGUAACAACUUAUUAAUAGAGUUAGAAUUUUUUUUUCUUUUCAUUAUGUAUCAAUCAUUUUUCUUAUUGCAUAAAAAAAAUCAAUUUUAUAAGUUUGUAGGGAAUCAGAAGGGCAUAGACAUGAGUUUUGGCCUCUCAAAGUUAGAAAAUUUUUAAUUUUGUUUUUUAUAAAUAAAAAAAUUAUAAGUCAAUAUAUAGUGAAAUUAUAAUUUCAUCUCUAAAAUAAAAAAAAAAUCAAUUCUAUCCUCUUAUGAAUAAAGAAAUUAUAAACUAAUAUAUAGUAAAAUUGUACUUUAGCCCUCAUAAAAAUGAAAUAAUUUUUGCUUAAUCCCUUUAAAAAUGAUAAAAUUAUAAAUUAAUACGUAAUAAACUUCUAUUUUGAUUCAUGAAAAAACUAUAAUUAUAUUCCUACUCCUGCUAUUUUUUUUUUGAUUCACCCCUUUCUUGAUUGGAACAUUUUCUUACUAACCAACAAAAGCAAAUGGUUGAGCAACCCUGAAAUGUCUAAAUCAUGGUCUUUGCAAUUUGCUAAGGCAUUGAUUGAAUACCACCAAAGAAUCUCUUUCUCAUCUUCCCUUUGAAGUAAUGGAUUAAAACUAUAUACGUGGAAUAACUGGUAAUUUAUACCAUUCCUUUUCAUUUUAAUGAUUAGUUUUUACUUAAAUAAUGUUUAAGAUAAGAUUUGAAUCCUUGUAAUUUUCUUGUCUCAAUGAAUUUGCUUCAAGUUACAUUGGGUUUAAAUAAGGGUGUACGGAAGGGUUUUAAAAAAUCAGAUCCAGACAAUGACGCUCGUAUUUAUCUAUAAUUUGGACGAAAUAGCCAAUGAAAGGAGAGAGGAACCUUUGGUUUUCUUAACGAAAACAAAAUACUAUUUAUUCAUACAACACGUAUGGUAGACAUGUACAUAUGCACAGAAGCUUAUGCUAUAAGAAUCUUUGAUCCCCUGGAUUCCUAGAUAUGAACCAAAGCCCUAAAUAGUGAAAAAUAUGGCCAUUAUUUUGACCGUAUUCCUUUUUCUGUGAAUUGUUAUCAUCUAGAUAUUGUUGGUAAAUAUAAGAAGCAAAUCCCCAAAGAGUGAACAACAUUGCCAAUACCUUAUUUGCAUCCAUUUUCUCCUUAUAAAACAGAACACCAACAACUGGAACAAAUGGCAAACUAAGCAUACUCACAACAUUUGAGAACAAAGAUGACACCAAAUAGAUCAAUCCCACAACUCCCACUGUAAAAAUCUGUCAUGCCAAAGUUGUUCCAAUCAAACUCACUACAUAAUUCACCUUCCCUUUAUCAAAUUUCUCCAUUUCGGACUUUAAAUCCAUUAAAUUCACACUUGAAAACAACCCCAACAAGCAAACGAAACUCGAAACCAAUUAAGUGUAAAUAUGCAUUUCAAACACAACACUAAAUGUCUCCUUUUUGAGUAUUUUGUCAAAUGAGAAUUGUGUUAGAGACAGCAAUAAUGCAUAGCUUGCUGAAGCACCAACUGUUGAUAUAAACCCAACGGUGUGUUCAUUCUUUCCUACUGGAUUUUUCUCAUCUCUUUUGGUCUCUGAACUGUCGGGAUGAAUUGCAACCAUUGAAGCUAAUAUGGUAAUGUAGAUGAUCGACUUAAGCGUUAGGAUACCAAGCUUUUCGGAGUUGAUAACCACUGAAAAGAUGGCGUCGAAUACAAUUGGCUUGCACAAAUGAGGGAAUAUGUUGAAAUGGAAAGUGGUUUAACACCAACUGUAUACAUGAAGUUAUCAAUGACUAGCAGACAACCGUGGGAAAAGUAGACCACAUAAUGAUUAUGUUUGUUGAAGUUAGUUCCAAUGCAGCUAGCUGAUCACAAAGGUGGCCAUGCACAAAUGACAGUAAGCAGUUGAGCCAUGGUGUGCAGCAGCUGAAGCUUGAAGUUGCUGAAUUACUUGGUGCAUUUAGUUGUUUUAAUUCUUUUGUAAUUUAGUUCAUGUUGAACUAAGUAGGUGAAUGUUUUGAUGUAAUUUUGAUGUUGAUUGACUGAAAAAUCAGCAAAGUAAUAUGUGCAAGCUAAUCUUGUAAGUUUCAAUGCAUAUUAGUGGUGUUAGGUAGUUGAUUAGGAGAUUACUUGUUUGUUUUUAAAAGUUUGCUGAUAUAUGUAAUGGCUUAAUGCCUCAUUCUCUUGUUAAUGAAAAUUAUCAGUUGAUUUCCAUUAAAAUUCUCUCUUUUCUUUUCUGGUUUUCCACUUGCAAGCUUCUUUUCUGUUUUCUUUCUUGUUUGUUUCUUCUCCAAGCCUCGAGGCUUGCUGUCCAAGCAAGACCAAAAGUAGUCUGCAGCUGUCUCUAACACCAACAAUUGGUAUCUAGAGCAUUUGUCUUAGUGGACCUAUUGUAUCAAACCAAGAAACUAGAAUGGCUUCUUCAGAAUUUUCACCAGCAGCCCCACCAGUCUUCAAUGAAGAAGGCUUCCGCAUAUGGUUGGUAAAGAUGAAGACUUACCUGUAGGCCUUUGAUCUGUGGGAAGUUGUCAACACAGAUGCUGAGCCAGCACUACUGAGGGCCAAUCCCACAGUAGCUCAGAUCAGACAACAUGCUGAUGAGAGGACCAAAAGGCACAAAGCCAUGUCCUGCAUUCAGAACUGUGUGUCAGAUGUCAUCUUCACCAGAAUUAUGGCCUGUGAGACUCUAAAACAGGCCUGGGAUAAGCUUAAAGAGGAGUUUCAAGGCACAGAGAGGACAAGGCAACAACAGCUGCUUAAUUUGAGAAGGGAUUUUGAGAAUCUACAGAUGAGGGAAGAAGAAAUAGUGAAGCAGUAUGCAGAUAGAAUCAUGGCUGUGGUUAACAGCAUAAGGCUCCUAGGUGAGCACUUUGAUGAGGUAAGAAUCAUGGAGAAAGUCCUCUCCACUUUGCCUGAGAGAUAUGAGGCAAAUAUAUCCUCCUUAGAGGAUUCAAGAGAUCUAGCUAGCAUCUCUUUGACUGAGCUAAUCAACACCUUUUAUGCUCAGGAACAAAGGAGAGCUAGCAAGGUUGAAGACCACCAGAAAGGUGCAUUUCAAGCCAGAGCCAGAGAAGCCUCGAGCACCAAUGCUCAUAGAGGCAAAAAGCCCUGGAAAAACAGGCCUAAGUCUGAUGCUGCUAGAAGCAGUGACCAACCCUGCAGACAUUGUACAAGGGUUGGUCAUCGAGAAGAUAGAUGCUGGUUUAGACCAGAUGCAGUAUGCCAACACUGCAAGAAGAAGGGCCAUGUUGAAAAGGUUUGCAAGAACACAAACAAACCAAGGCAAAGUCAAUUUCAGCAACCAAAGGCUGAAGCUCGAGUGGCUGAAGACAGUAGUGACCAAGAGGAGCAGGUCUUUGCUGUGUCCUGCUCAGCUGCUGAGAAGAAAUGCUCAAAAGACUGGCUACUGGACAGUGGCCUAACCACAUGUCACCAGAUGCAUCCUUGUUCAAAACCUUGGACAGAAGCUGCAAAACCAAGGUUAAGGUUGGAAAUGGUCAGUUUAUAAAGGCUAAAGGAAAAGGAGAUGUGCUAAUAUGCACUUCUACAGGCAACAAGGUCAUCUCAAAUGUGUUAUUGGUGCCUGAGAUUGACAAAAACCUUCUCAGCAUAGCUCAAUUGCUCGAGAAAGGCUAUUUAGUUAUGUUCAAGGACACACAGUGCCAGAUUGCUGAUCCAAGUGGAUCAAGCCUCAUGACAGUUAAAAUGACUGACAAAUGCUUUAAGGUUCAUUGGCCAAAUGACUCAAAGUCAGCAUACACAGCCUCUACAGAUGAUUCCAAGCUCUGGCAUUAAAGGCUUGGACAUGCCAACUUCUGGUUGAUGGCUCGAAUGGCCAGAGAGGGCUUGGUUAAGAAUUUUAUCAACUCAGUGGAGCAUGAUGAUGUAUGUGAAGUUUGACAGAUGAGGAAAUAGGCAAGACUGCCAUUUCCUACAAACUCAGCAUGGAGAGCCACUGAAAGAUUGCAGCUGGUGCACCCUGUUGUAUGUGGACCUAUGAGGACUGAAUCACUUAGCAAAAAUAGGUAUUUCAUCCUCUUCAUUGAUGAUUUUACAAGGUUUUGCUAGAUUUUCUUCUUGAAACACAAGUUUGAGGUAGCUCAAGUGUUUGUGAAGUUUAAAAUUGCUGUUGAGACAGAAACAGGCUGCAAGCUGAAAUCGAUAAGGUUAGACAAUGGCACUAAGUACACUUCAGCUCAGUUCCAAGCCAUUUGUAGUGAUGCUGGUAUCAAACACCAGCUAACAAAUGUGUACACACCUCAGCAGAAUGGGGCAUCUGAAAGGAUGAACAGAAGCCUGUUGGAUAUGGCCAGGUGUCUGCUAUUUGAGAAGAAACUGGCCAAAACCAUGUGGGCUGAGGCAGUAAACACUACUGUUUACCUUCAAAAUAGGCUUCCAAUCAAGGCCCUUGCUCACAAGACACCUUUUGAGGCAUGGUUUGGUUUCAAACCUUCAUUGGCACAUCUAAAGGUGUUUGGUUGUCUGUGCUAUGCACAAAUACCAGCAGUAAAGAGGGACAAGCUUUCAAAGAGAGCUCAGCCUGGCAUUUUAGUAGGCUAUAGCUCAGUCAAGAAGGGCUACAGGGUUUUGGAUCCCUUGACAAGAAAAAUUCAAGUAAGCAAAGAUGUUAUCUUUGAUGAAAAUGCAUGCUGGAAUUGGGAGAAGAAUGAACCAGAAGCUAUUUCAGAAGACUUGGUGCCUAAUCAAGCUGAACUCGAGCAGCUUAGUCCUGAAAUGGACAUUGAUGAUGUACCUGUGAGAGGCACAAGGUCCCUAGAUGAAAUUUAUGAAAGAGCACAGGUUGCUAUGGCAGAACCUACCAGUUUUGAAGAGGCUGAGGCAGAUGAAGGCUGGAAACAGGCUAUGGUUGAUGAAAUCAACAUGAUUCAGAAGAAUCAGACAUAGGAAUUGGUUGAUAAGCCUACUGGAAAGAAGACCAUUGGAGUGAAAUGGGUCUAUCGAGCAAAACAAAAUGCUGAUGGCAAUCUAAACAAGCUGAAAGCUAGGCUUAUUGUAAAAGGCUUCAGCCAAAGGUAUGGCCUGGACUACCUAGAGACUUUUGCACCAGUAGCCAGGCUUGACACAGUCAGAAUGAUAGUUGCCUUGGCUGCUCAAAAUUAGUGGACCAUUCAUUAGCUUGAUGGGAAGUCUGUAUUUCUCAAUGGUUUCCUAGAAGAAGAGAUCUACAUCGAGCAACCUUAAGGAUUUGUAGUCACUGGCAAAGAACACACGGUGUAUAGGCUAAAAAAGGCCUUGUAUGGCCUGAAGUAGCCACCUCGAGUCUGGUAUGCUCAAAUUGACUCCUAUAUGAUCAGUUUGGAAUUCGAGAGAAGUGAUAGUAAACCAACUUUGUAUGUGAAGAAAAAUCAAGCUGAAACUCAGCUUAUCUUGUCACUUUAUGUUGAUAAUCUAUUAGUUAUUAGAGGAGACAAGGGUAUGUUGCAUGACUUCAAGAGAAAAAUUAUGAAAAUGUUUGAGAUGUCUGAUCUAGGCAGAAUGAAUUACUUCCUAGGAAUGGAAGUGAAACAGACUGCAAAUGGAAUCUUUCUCAGCCAGAGUUCCUUUGCUAUGAAGGUCUUAAACAAAUUCUCUAUGAAGAACUGUAAACCAACAAGCACACCAAUGGCAGUUGGUAUGAAGCUAUCAAGACAGAGCAGUGGUGAACCAGUUUGUGAGACAAUGUACAAGAGUCUCAUUGGUAGUCUGCUGUAUUUGACUGCAACAAGGCCUGAUAUUAUGUUUGGUGUUAGUAUGCUAUCUAGAUUCAUGAAUUGCUGCAAUGAUCAGUACUUUCAAGCAGCUAAAAGAGUGCUGAGGUACAUCAAAGGCACCAUUGAUCAUGGUGUGUUGCUCAAAAGGGCUAAAAACAUGAAGCUGACAAGCUAUGUUGAUAGUGACUGGGCUGGAUCAUGUGAUGACAUGAGAAGCACAUCUGGAUAUGCAUUUAGCCUUGGCUCAGGCAUGUUUUGCUGGAGUUCUAAGAAGUAGAGUCUGGUGGCACUGUCAACAGCAGAAGCUGAAUAUGUUGCUGCUGCAUCUGCUGUGAAUCAAGCCAUAUGGCUUAGAAAAAUCUUGGCUGAUUUAAACCAAAACCAAGAAGGAGCAGCAGAGAUCUACUGUGACAACAAAUCUACUGUUGCAAUUGCAAAGAAUCCCAUCUUCAAUGGCAGAACGAAGCAUUUCAAUAUUAAGUUACAUGUUGAUGCGGUUGUUGAAAGCACCAAAAAUAUCCUAUCCCUAAUAAAUAAUGAAAAAGAAUAGUAAAAGGGAAGUAGGGUCAAAUCCUCAAGGACUGGACUUGCAAAAUAUCUUGUUCUGUGAAAUCUCAGGCAGAGUAUUAGCCAAGACAACCUACGUUCCGGGAAAAAAAAUAAAAACAAUAACAGAAUUAAAGGGUUGGAUUUGGAAACGAAAAAUAAAAUAAAAAUAGAAUUAAGAAUAUUGAAUCAAAAAUUAGAAAAAUUAAAAAUAGAGUUGAGAGAAAGAAAAUUCUUAUGGGAGAUUCUAGCCUCCAGUUGUCUCGUUCCACCUUGGGUUUAAUCCUUGGCUUUUAGAUGAUCCUUCUCAAACCGAAUAAGCCAGUUAUAGUGGAAGAGGACGCCUACGACCAUUAACUCCAUGGAUUUAGACUUACGAUGUGGUGGAACCUGACUCUAGCCAACAAUCGCUUCUGUGGGAUCGUCUUAUGCUAGAUCAACGCUUCUCAAUGGCGAAUCCCACGCCAUUUUGUCUCUUUGGCUCACCAACCUCUGACGCAGUAAGCUAACGAACCGACUGUGCAACAUUCCCAAAACAUACAAAGCGGCCGCCUUUGCAUACGUUGAAAAGCUUACUUCUUAAGGGACAUGGACGGAAGCGUCAGCCCCGUAGUGUGGAGAAACGAUGAAUACUCAGUGAGGAGGCUAAGUACGAAUUCUAAGCCUCAUGAACUCUUUUGGGGAUUUUUGACAACCUUGGGCUAGAUGGGUUUAGUGGCUCAUGGUUGUGAUAGAAAAGAAAAGAAAUAAAUAAAUAAAUAAAUAAAUAAAAAGAUUUUAUUAAAAAGAAGAACAAAAGCCUAAACUUUUGGGGAGAGAGUGUUUUCAGAAAAAUAUAGGGAUCCCCUUUUGAGUCACUUCACCCCCUAUUUAUAGUGCUAGGGGAGAUAUUAUAAUCCUACUUAAAUUCCUAAAAGAUAAAUACAUUUAAUUGAAGAUAAAUAAAGAUAAAAUAAAAUCCUAAAAAUAAUCCUUAAUAAUUAUCUCAAUAUUAAUUAUCCUAAUAUAAUUAAAAUAGAGUUUAAUAGAAUAAAAUCUCUUCUUUUUGUAUUUCAACCCUUGUGUCCUCCAUGCUUGCAGUUUUGGCACCAACUUUUCCUUGUGUCGCAUAUUGGCCCAUUUUAUCUCUAAAUUCACGCUUUUGGCCCUUAAUUUCACUUUUGCCUCAAAUUCAGUCCCUAUGAGAUAAAAGAUCAUAAAUAGCUCAAAUUAGCAGGAUCAUACUCAGAAUAAAUACAUAAUUAAUACAUAAAAAUACGUUAUUCUAGAGUGUUAUCAAAUCCCCCUACUUAGCCCAUGCUUGCCCUCAAGUAUGGUUCCUAUCUACUGUGAAAGUUAGAUUCUACCAUAAAAGAAAUACUACUUCAAAGUUUUAUAAAAAUCAGUCAAAAAUGUAUAUGAAAAAUAAAGAAAACCCUAAGCUUGCUUUAAGUAAAAUAAAAAAAGCUUUCCAAUUAAUACACACAAAAAUUAGAAUCGACUUUAAUUAUUUAAUGAAAAUUAGGGAAAUUACCAAACCUACCAAGACACCCUAUUUGUUUCCUCCUUUAGUCCCCAAUAUAUAUAUAUAUAUAUACCACUCUAGAAUAACGUAUUUGAAGUGGUAUUUCUUUUAAGUAUGGUUCCUAUCUACUGUGAAAGUUAGAUUCUGCCAUAACAGAAAUACCACUUCAAAGUUUUAUAGAAAUCAGUCAAAAAUGCAUAUGAAAAAUAAAGAGAACCCUAAGCUUGCUUUAAGUAAAACAGAAAAAGUUUUUCAAUUAAUACACACAAAAAUUAGAAUCAACUUGAAUUAUUUAAUGAAAAUUAGGUAAAUUACCAAACCUACCAAGACACUCUAUUUGUUUCCUCCUUUAGUCCCCAAAUUAUUAUUUUUCUUUUUUUUUGUUUUUUUCUCUUUUUUUUAUGCUUUAGGAAUAUACUGAACCUUUUGACGCGAAGAGAGAUGACAGCCAAGCACCCCACCCCGGUUACUCAGCCCAGCAAACUCCUAAUUUAUUAUAAUUUUUCUUAAGAACACAUCAAACCUUUUGACGCGAAGAGAGAUGACAGCCAAGCACCCCACCCCGGUUACUCAGCCCAACAUGUUCUUAAAAACUAAUUCUGGUUAGCGGAGUUUUACCUAACACGUCACACAACCUUUUGAUGCGAAAUAGGAUGACAACCCAAGCACCCUACCCCGGUUACUCAGUCAGUCACGUUUUUAAACUGCACUCAUAACCACAGAAAUAUUAAACGACAUUUUAAUAAUAACUUUUUUUAUGAGGACUUUAGAGAAAUAAUAAUAAUCAAGUGUCAAAAAUAAGUUUCAGUAAUUACAUUAAUAGUCAUCAACAUAUUUUAGCAUGCAAACAUAUUAAGUGUCCACUUUGUAUUUAAACUUGAUCAAUUUUACGAAAAGCAAGAUAAAGUUAACUUUAUGAAUCACAAUUAUUUUUAGUCUGAUAAGAAUAAAACAGUGGAGAUGGCAUCAAUUAUGGAAAAUUCAUAAUUUUCUCAGAUAACAAGAAUCAUGCUUGUAAGUCAAACCAUAGGCAAUUCUUGGUAAAAAUCUUGGGCAUGAAAAGAGGCAGGAGAUUCUAAAAAAAAUAAAUAUGGACAAAAUGGAGCCUCAAGUAGCAACACCAGCCAAAAAAAAUAAUCACAGCAACAACCAAAAUCACAGCAGAAAAUGAUAGUGAUAACGAAGAGUACCUCCCCCCUACUUAAAGCACAUUGUCCUCAAUGUGGAUGAAAAGAAAUAAAUAGGUAGAAAAGUUUAGAAAAACUCCCCGUGUUGUUACUGUCGAUCGCAAAUGAUGGCAAUGAGCUUGGUCAGUUGCUGGCCAAAAGUUUCAAGUCAGGCCUCAAUGCGCUUUAAGCGUUGCUCAACGGUUUUUUUCGCAUUUUCGCUCUGUUUUAUCUAAGCAAAAGAAGAAAAAUUUAUUAAUAUCCAAAUAAGUAAAAUAAAAUAAAAGAAAGUAAUAAAUAAACUAAAAAUAAAAAUAAAAAUUGGGUUGCCUCCCAACAAGCGCUUGUUUAACGUCGUUAGCUCGACGCCGUUAUUGGUUCUAUGGUGGUUCCAAAUGGAUUUUUUCAACUGUGUGGGCUUGAAAAUUCUCAUAAAACGGCUUCAACCGCUGGCCAUUGACUACGAACCGCUUUCCAGAUUCUUUACUCUCUAUUUCAACUACUCCAUGUGUGAACACUUUAGUAACAAUAAAAGGUCCCUACCAUUGUGAUCGAAGCUUACCUGGGAAUAACUUUAACACGGAGUUAUAAAGUAAAAGUUUUUGUCCUACCAAAAAAUGCUUCUGAGCUAUUCUCUUAUCGUGAAACAACUUUGUCUUGUCUUUAUAAAUGUGAGCAUUCUCGUAGGCAUCAUUGCGAAUUUCUUCUAACUCUUGGAUGUCUAAUUUCCUUGCCUGUUCUGUGGGUUCUAACUCCAACUCUGGUGCCUUUAUAACAGAAGGUAACAAUUUAGUAUUUGAAGAUGAUAACUCGUUAACAAAUUCAAAUUCAUUAAGUUCAGAAUUAUCUCCAUAAAUUGACUCAAAAUUCUCUUCCACCAAAGAGUCAAUUAUGUCAAUACGAUUUACGCACAAGAUUUCGCUUGGAUGGCUAAUGGCAUCGUAGACAUUAAACUUUACGAUCUCCCCAUCAAACUCCAUCGUGAGAGUUCCACUUCGAACAUCAAUUUUAGUACUAGCUGUACUAAGGAACGAUCGACCCAAUAGGAGAUCUGAAGAUCCAGGAGUGCUAUCCUCCUCCAUUUUGAUCACAUAAAAAUCUGCAGGGAAAAUAAGCUUGUUAACUUUUACCAGAACAUCCUUAAGGACUCCUUCUGGAUGCACAACAGACCUGUCUGCCAAUUGAAUGAUAACACCUAUUUUUGUCAAGAAACCCGCGUUAAGUGAUUCAUAAAUAGAAUAUGGCAUUACAUUUAUAGAAGCCCCUAGAUCACACAUAACCUUCUUAAUUCCCAGAUGGCCUAUUUUGCAUGGUAUUGCAAACAUGCCCCUAUCCUUACAUUUUGUUGGCAUUUUCCACUGUAACACUGCGAAUACAUUCUCACCAACAUUCACCCUUUCAUAACCUGUUAAUUUUCGCUUGUUGGUGCAAAGCUCUUCAAGAAAUUUAGCAUACCGCGGUAUUUGCUUGAUGGUGUCCAACAGUGGAAUGUUGAUCUCGACAUUCCUAAAUGUUUCAAGAAUUUUCUUAUCCUCUUUACCUCCUCGAAAUUGGUUGAAUCAUUCUGGAAAUGGAGGUUGAAUUUUAGGAAAUAGAGGCUUCGGUCGGACCUGUUCAUCUUUUUCAGGUUUUUCCUGGGUGAUUUCUUGGGCAAGAUUCCUGUCAGGAAUUGGUUCCAGUACCUUUCCGCUUCGCAACGUCACUGCAUUUGCAUUUUGUCUAGGGUUUGGUUCUGUUUGUGACGGCAGCUUCCCUUGAGAGGUUAAUUUCUCGAUCAAUGUGGUCAACUCUCUAAUGGACGCCUCAGUUUUCUGUUGGAAAUCCUUCAUCUCUUUUUGGAAAUUAAGAUUUUGCUGCUGAAAAUCAAGAACAUUAGUUGCUAACUUAUUGACCAUGGUUUCUAGAAAAUUACCUGAACCUUGCGGUUGUUGCGGAAACUGAUUUUGGUAUGGCUGGUUAUUUCGUGGAUUUGCACCAUAACUUAAGUUAGGAUGAUCCCUCCACCCUGGGUUGUAGGUAUUAGCGUAGGGGUCGUAUUGCCUUUGUGGCGGCCCAGGGAAAUUUUCCACAACAUUCAGAUGGGCCAUGGUUUCAUCAUACAAACUGGGACAUGCAUCAGUUGCAUGAUCAGGUGUAGCACAUAUUCUGCAUAAUCGAGCUGUCUUCACUUUUUCUGCAAUAAGAGAAUUCAUCAUAUUAGCAAGUCUAUCAACUUUAUCCUCUAAGGUUGAAUUACUUAGUUGGUGAACCCUUCUAGGGGGUUCAAUAUUGGCUCGGAACUGCUGAGAAUUUGCAGCCAUCGUGGAGAUCAAGUCUCUCGCUUGUUGGGGAGUCAUGUUGACCAAUGCUCCUCCACUAGCAACGUCUACCAUAUUCAUCUCCAUGGGCUUCAAACCUUCGUAAAAGUAUUGGAGGAGAGAUUGCUCUAUUAUACCAUGUUGUGGACAGCUUGCACACAACUUUUUAAAUCAUUCCCAAUAAUCGUAAAGGGACUCAGCUUCUUUUUGUCUUAUUCUAACGAUCUCUCUUCUUAGCUCAGCUGCCCGAGAUGCUGGAAAAAACCUGUUCAGAAAUAAAUGAGAUAGAUCAGCCCAAGUUGUAAUAGAUCCAGGGGGUAAAUAAAAUAACCAUUCCUUAGCGGAAUCUGCUAGGGAGAAAGGGAAAGCACGCAAUUUAAUCUGAUCCUCAGUUACCCCCUGAGGUUUCAUGCUAAGACAAACCAUAUGAAAUUCUUUCAGAUGCUUGUGGGGAUUUUCAUUUUGUAACCCACGAAAAGUUGGCAAUAACUGGAUUAAACCUGUCUUCAACUCAAAAUCAGUAUCCAUAGUAGGAUACGCGAUGCACAAUGGCAGUUGUUCUAUCAGAGCUUCGGCCAGUUGCCGAAUUGUUUGAGCCAUUGGUUGGUAUGCUAGAUUCGGGUUUUCGUUAACCCUAGCGUUAAGCACUUCUUCUGGUGAGUCGACUUCUACUUUUUCGCUUUCAAGUGUUCGAGUAGGGUUUUCGUUAACCCUAGACUCAGCUUCGUCGUCAACUUCGAUUUUUGGCGGUGGGUUACUUUGAGUUCCAACCACCGCUGACUUCUUUUUUCGUAACUUUGUCUCCUUGCGAUUGGCUCUAGCAGUCUUCUCAAUUUCUGAAUUGAACUCAAGAGUACCUGGAGCAGAUCUGGUCAUAAGAAACAAAAAACAAGAUUAGUACGUUGCCAGUCCCCGGAAACGGCGCCAAAAUUUGAUGCGGUCGUUGAAAGCACCAAAAAUAUCAUAUCCCUAAUAAAUAAUGAAAAAGAAUAGUAAAAGGGAAGUAGGGUCAAAUCCUCAGGGACUGGACUUGCAAAAUAUCUUGUUCCGUGAAAUCUCAGGCAAAGUCUUGCCCAAGACAACCUGCGUUCCUGGAAAAAAAUAAAAACAAUAAUAGAAUUAAAGGGUUGGAUCUGGAAACGAAAAAUAAAAUAAAAAUAGAAUUAAAAAUAUUGAAUCGAAGAUUAGAAAAAUUAAAAAUAGAGUUGAGAGAAAGAAAAUUCUUAUGGGAGAUUCUAGCCUCCAGUUGUCUUGUUUCAAUCCUCAGCUUUUAGAUGAUCCUUCCCAAACCGAAUAAGCCAGUUAUAGUGGAAGAGGACGCCUACGACCACCAGCUCCAAGGAUUUAGACUUAUGAUGUGGUGGAACCUGACUCUAGCCAACAAUCGCUUCUGUGGGAUCGUCUUAUACUAGAUCAACGCUUCUCAAUGGCGAAUCCCACGCCAUUUUGUCUCUUUGGCUCGCCAACCUCUGAUGCAGUAAGCUAUCGAACCGACUGUGCAACCUUCCCAAAACAUACAAAUUGGCCGCCUUUGCAUACGUUGAAAAGCUUACUUCUUAAGGGACAUGGACGGAAGCGUCAGCCCCGUAGUGCGGAGAAACGAUGAAUACUCAGCGAGGAGGCUAAGUACGAAUUCUAAGCCUCAUGAACUCUUUUGGGGAUUUUUGACAACCUUCGGCUAGAUGGGUUUAGUGGCUCAUGGUUGUGGUAGAAAAGAAAAGAAAUAAAUAAAUAAAUAAAAAGAUUUUAUUAAAAAGAAAUAUGAAAAGAACAAAAGCAUAAACUUUUGGGGAGAGAGUGUUUUCAGAAAAAUAAAUGGGAUCCCCUUUUGAGUCACUUCACCCCCUAUUUAUAGUGCUAGGGGAAAUAUUCUAAUCCUACUUAAAUUCCUAAAAGAUAAAUACAUUUAAUUGAAGAUAAAUAAAGAUAAAAUAAAAUCCUAAAAAUAAUCCUUAAUAAUUAUCUCAAUAUUAAUUAUCCUAAUAUAAUUAAAAUAGAGUUUAAUAGAAUAAAAUCUCUUCUUUCUGCAUUUCAACCCUUGUGUCCUCCAUGCUUGCACUUUUGACACCAACUUUUCCUUGUGUCGCACAUUGGCCCAUUUUAUCUCUAAAUUCACGCUUUUGGCCCUUAAUUUCACUUUUGCCACAAAUUCAGUCCCUAUGAGAUAAAAGAUCAUAAAUAGCUCAAAUUAGCAGGAUCAUACUCGGAAUAAAUACAUAAUUAAUACAUAAAAAUACGUUAUUGUAGAGUGUUAUCACAUGUUAUAAGAGAAAUGGAGUAAGCUCAUGAAAUCAAGCUGGUUCAUUGCAAUUCAGAAGAGCAAAUUGCUGAUAUCUUUACCAAGGCACUUAAUGUGUCAAAGUUUGUUAAAUUGAAAAGGCAGCUAGGUGUUAUUAGCAUGGAAACUAAGGAAGAGUGUUGAAGUUAGUUCCCAUACAGCUAGCUGAUCACAAAGGUGGCCAUGCACAAAUGACAAUAAGCAGUCGAGCCAUGGUGUGCAGCAGCUGAAGCUUGAAGUUGCUGAAUUACUUGGUGCAUUUAGUUGUUUUAAUUCUUUUGUAAUUUAGUUCAUGUUGAACUAAGUAGGUGAAUGUUUUGAUGUAAUUUUGAUGUUGAUUGACUGAAAAAUUAGCAAAGUAAUAUGUGCAAGCUAAUCUUGUAAGUUUCAAUGCAUAUUAGUGGUGUUAGGUAGUUGAUUAGGUGAUUACUUGUUUGUUUUUACAAGUUUGCUGAUAUAUGUAAUGGCUUAAUGCCUCAUUCUCUUGUUAAUGAAAAUUAUCAGUUGAUUUCCAUUAAAAUUCUCUCUUUUCUUUUCUGUUUGUCCACUUGCAAGCUUCUUUUCUGUUUUCUUUCUCGUUUGUUUCUUCUCCAAGCCUCGAGGCUUGCUGUCCAAGCAAGACCAAAAGCAGUCUGCUGCUGUCUCUAACACCAACAAUGUUGUUGGAGGAGCUUGGGGACUGCUUGUUAAUGGAAGGGAAUAAGAGAAGUGGGAGGUAAAGGAGAGGGAAACCAGCAACCCCUAAGGUGUACCACCUCCUCUUAGUAGAGUGGAGGCUGUAUUUUUUAUUUAAUUAUCAUUAUUUAACUAGAUCAAGAGAACUCUUGUAUUGAUUCUCUAGUAACCGUAUUUGAGCUAUUUACACCUUUCAUAAACCUCAUUAUUUUGUUGGGAAAUAGUGGUACUUUAUUUUACAAAAUAAAUUCUAAUAUUUUUAAAAAAAUUAUAAUUUAACUGAUUUACAUUGAAAGCAAUUAGAAAGCAAAGAAAAUAUCCUAAACAGAGAAUCUCUAUUGCCUUCUUUAAAAGCUCCUGGAAUUUCAAAUUGCCUGCAUAUAACGAAUUAUAAAAGUUGAAGCUUUUACCCUUGCCCUAUCCAUGCCAUAGAUCCAUUCUUAUUUAUAUAUGUUCACUCUUCUUUAAUUAUUUGUGUAUGUAUGGUGGGUUAUCCUUAAUAGUUGCCAUAGAUCCAUUGUUGAGAAACUAGUGAAGGGCAUGUAGAUUUCAGAUGCCCUGUUCUGAUUUUUCCUUUUUGAGUUGCGUAGAGAAGAAAAAGGGAAAAAAGUGACUUGGAUUAAUUAUCGAGAGGUCCUUAAGUUUUUGUCAAAAAGUCAAAAGAAAGUGUCACAUGGCAUCAUUCAAUUGGCUCAUAUGCCACAUCAACAAUCCGUUAUUGGAUUAACGAAAUGUUUAACGGCAGUAACUAAUUCAAACAAUUAUAUUAAUUAGAAUGUUUAAAUUGAGAAAAAAAGUUUAGAGUAACUAAAAUAGGACAAACUCUAUUUUAAAAUGAUCUUAGGUGUAGUUUACCCUAUACUUUUAUGCUUGUCUAAAAUUACUAAUUAUUUUAGAGAAGAAAUUCAUUAAAGAUUAAGUCGCAAAACAAAAGCAAACACAAAGAGGAGACGAACUACUAAACCCGAGCCAACAGGCUCACCCCAUACACCCGAACCUACUGUCUGAAAUCCUCAUUCUUAUCAACAUAAAACAUGAUUUCAACAUUCUUCAAAAAAGAUGCAAAAGGAAAAGUACGACAUUCCGUAUGGUUUGCAUAUAACAAAGCAGCUCACGCAAGCAAGUGGGCUGCGUUGUUGGCAGUACCACAUCAACGAGUCCCAUUAAAGGACAGACGCUAAAACUAAUCUUUUAGCACCAAACAAUCAUGUAUAGCACACCUAGGUCAAAUGCAUCAAUUAUACAUACUUUUCCCCUUUCAAACCACAUACCCAUAGUAGCCCAAAACGCAUAUAGUUUACCACAAAUAUGGUCUAGCUUUCUAUAGUACGCAAUCCUCCAAGACCUAAUGAAAAAUGAGGGAGCCACUACACCGCAAAAUCCCAUUACAAAGCCAAUAACUAUGCUGACAUAAAGCCAAUUCACUUUACUUCCUUCACUGCUACUUGCAUUAUUCACAACAUCAGUUGAAAAACCUUUUGUACUGCAGUUUUUAGUGAGGGGAGGUCCACAAAGAUGAUUUCCCACUUAAGACAAGUUUUCAAAGCUUUGAAGCUAAGUGCUUGUUGGAAUUUGUCCUGUCAAGUUGUUGUAGGACACAUUGAAGUGGUUCAAGAAAUUCAAUUUGGAGAAACUUGGAGGGAUUUCACCAUUCAAUCGAUUCAUCGACAAAUCAAGAGAUUCCAUCCACUCCAUGUUGCCAAUGGUGUCUGGUAUAUUUCCUGUUAGGAGAUUUCCUAAAAAAUUUAAAGACAAUAGUCCAACGAGACUACCAAUUUGUUUGGGGAUCUCUCCAGUGAGACUAUUAGCUGAAAGGUCUAUGUUGGUAACAAGUCCUAGGGUGCUACCAUAUUCAUCCUCUCGUCCUUUCAACACCAAUAGUGCUUUAAAAUAAAAUGGGAAAUCAAUGACUAACGGCGCAGAAACUUCAUUCUUGGUUUUUUUUUGUGGCCAUUGCACUAAAAUUAUUGAAACAUUUUGGAAUAACUCCUGAAAUGUUGUUUUGGGCAAGGUCCAAGUUCUGAAGAAAUUGAAGAUCACAAAUUUUAUGAGGGAUGUGACCAUCAAAGUUAUUUGAUCGAAGGCUUAGAAUCACAAGGCUCGAGAGCUUAUCACCAAUCCAUGCUGGUACGCAUCCACUGAAAUGAUUUUCACUAAGAUCAAUCAUAAUCAAAUCUCUAGAGUUUUACAAUGUGGAUGUCAAUUCUCCAAACAUGCUAUUGUUCGAAGGUUUAACAUAAAAGGAUCUGUAUAUUCCAAAGUAGGUGGGAUUUUCCCUGUCAAAUUGUUGUUUCCUAAAUUUAAAUAAGCUAAAGUCUCCCAAUGAUUCCAACAAUCUGGAAUUUCUCCAAUGAGUAGAUUUGUAUCAAUGUAAAGAGUUACCAUCCCUCUUAAUGAUGGAUUGCAAACUAAUUCAGAAAGGGAUCCCGAAAAUGAAUUAUUUGACAAAAAUAAAAAUCUUAAACUUGAGGGUACUCUUGGCAAUGGACCUGUAAAGCGGUUUGAACUUAAGUCAAUAAAGUUUGUUACAUUCAAAAAUGAAAACUCUCCAGUAAGUUGAUUAAAGGAAAGAUUUAAAUUUGUAAAUUGAGUGGGAAGGUUUAAAAACCAAGUGGGCAUGACAUCUGAAAUUCCUGCACAGGAGAUAUCCAAAGAAGACAAUUUCUUUUGAAAUUUUAACCACCAAGGAAACUUUGGGCCAAGAUGCCAGUUACCCAAUUCAAUACUUUCACGUUGAAAUGGGGGAAUCCAACUGAGUUUGGUUCAAAUCUAAGCCUAUUGUGUGACGCUGUUAGAGUUGUCAAUCUCGUGAGAUUAGAAAAAUAGGUUUCUAAUACAACUCCUUCAAAUAGAUUAUACUCAAAAGCCAGAGUUUCCAAACUUUCCAAUUGUCCAAAACAUGGAGGAAAUGUACCAUUUAAUUGAUUUUCUGAAACAUCAAAUAACUUCAAAGAUGACAGCUCCCCUAUAGACAAUGGAAUUCGACCAUUUAAUUGAUUUUCUGAAAUAUCAAAGAAUUUCAAAGAUGAUAAGUCCCCUAUCGAUGAUGGAAUGGGACCAGAAAUUUUGUUUUGAGCAAGGGACAAGUAAGAUAGAUUUUUAAACUGCCCAAGUUGAUCAGUUAAAUGGCCAGAAAGUUGGUUAUUGGUCAUAUCCAAUGACUCUAAGGAAUCCAAACAACAUCUAGACAAACUCUGCAGGAUUUCUGAUAUUCCACCUUCAAUUUUAUUAAAUGACAAAUCCAUCUCCUUCAAUUUGCACAGAUAUUCCAGUGAGGUUGGUAAUCUUCCUUCCAACAUAUAAUUUAAAGAAAGAUCAAGGUGAGUAACAGAGCUUAAGUUUCCAAUGGCACUCGAGAUUGUUCCUUGUAACUGGUUACCCCAAAGACUGAGGAACUGAAGACGGUUUAAACUAUACAAGGAAUUGGGUAUGGAUGAAUUGAGAUGAUUCCCACUAAGAUCAAGAACUUCAAGAAACGAGAUGUUCCCAAAGUAAUCUGGAAUUGGGCCUUCCAAAGAAUUGCGACUAAGAUCAAUGGACACAAGACCAUGAAGACUAAAUAUCCACUUAGGUACUGAAGAAAAGCGGUUCCCAAAAAGAUCAAGAACAACCAGUGAUUUUGAAGAAUUAGCAUUGAUCGAAGAUGGAUCAUUGUCUAAACCACAACCUGACAAGUGCAACUCUAACAAAGAAGGAAGUUUAAGUGUUACCUGCACCCAAUCAAUUGCUUUAGAAAGAUCCGCACCACUCAAAUCAAGGUGCUGCAAGGAAGAAAGUCCAGAAACCCAUUGAAGACUUUUUUGUUCGUGAUGAUUACCUCUAAGAUCAAGAUACUACAACUUUGAGAGAUUCCCAAGGUUAUGAGGAAUUGUUCCCUGAAAUUGUGCAUAAGAGAGGUUAAGAUAUGUCAAACUCUCCAGCAAACUGAAAAAUUUCGGGAUAUGUAUGCUGCUAAAACUGUUAUAGCUCAAGUCCAGGGAAUUGAGAUGCUUCAACUCCAGCAGUGAAGGAUUUAUUUUGCCUCCUAGGGCUGAAGGUGAAAGAGGGGGAGCAGCCAAGUGCAGUUGGUUGACGUGGCCUGUUGAGUUAUGGCAGACAACACCAAUCCAUUUACAGCAAUCCCCUCCUUCAACCCAAGAAGAUAACCUGUUUGAAGGAUCAGCAAGAUCAUUCUUGAAUUUCAGAAGAUCUUCUCUCUCACUUUGGAUGCAAAGUAGGUUGGAAUUGGCAUCACAAACGCUAAAACAGAUAGCGGGAAUGAGAAGAAGAAAAGGGAAUAAGGAAAUUGGAAGAGUAGUCAUGGUUGCAAUUGCCAUAUCCCACAACUCCAAAUAUAUAGACUAAGCUUAGCUAAAAAACAAAAAUACAUGAAGCUCAUGGAAGUUUCUUCCAAAACCCCAAAUUUCCACAAAAUACAUUUUAUUGAUAAUAGUCUGUAGGAAAUUUGCUAUCAAGGGAAGUUUCUAAUUAAUUGCAUUAAAAAUUUUGACUUUUUACUAACAAUGAAAAGAGAAGAAAGAUGAAAUCAUCGGAGGAAAAAAAAACUUAUAUUAAUAAUUAAGAUAUAAAGUAACAAAUUUAAUAUGAAUUUCAUUUAUUAAUUUAAAGAAAUAAUUUACUUUUUACUUCUUCCAACAAAAUUUGAGCUUUAGAAGAAGAGAAAUAAAGUUGUCAAUAAAUAAUUCCCACUCCCACGGUAUUUUUGCUAUAUGUUUUGCUAAUAUUAAUCAAUUUGUGGAAAGAGAAUAUCAAUUCAAAUAUGCAUAACGAUAUUUGUGGCCCUUAAACAUUUUUGAAAAAAAAUCAAUUUAGCUCUUACUGUUUUAUUGAGUUCUUAUUUAGUCCUCAAACUUUUAUUUUUUUUGUCAAUUGAAUAAGUUUGGACGGAAAACAUAACAGAGCUAUUUGUUAAUUUAAAGUAAUUGUUGACAUAUAAGCUAUGUGUUUGGAAGGAGUGACUAAGGGAAUGAGCACUCUUUCAAGCACUACAAUAAAAAAGUAAAACAACGGACACAAAGAUUGUUUAUGCAAUUCGGAUUCUGUACGUCAGCUGAUCCUAAUUCAGUAAGAAAUAUUCAGUAUCUUCAACAUUUACAAGAAGUAAUCCUAAAUCUAUCACACACCAAUGACAAUUUUCUCACUUUUGCAUAUUGAAGACUGAUACUCUCACCACUAAAUUGACCCAUUUGAAUUUAGCAAGUAAAACCACAACACAAUUGGUUUCACUAUCACAAUUCACUCAUAAAAUUAAGUUCCACACUUAAACAAACUAUGUGCUAUAUCUCACUCAAUACAUAAUAUAUACAAGUUUCUAAAUUAUAUAGAAUAUUUCAAGACUUGCUAACAUAAAGAAGAUUUAUCACAAUUCUUAUUAAACAACAAUAAGAUAAGCUGAACGCAAUAGGAUAAUAAUAAACAAGGUAAACAUGGACUCUUGACAGCGAAGAAUGACACGUUCCAAUUCAAUCUAAUAUCCACGAUCGAAAGAAUUAUAUAAAUAUGACCAGUUUUGAUCCGAUCUUUCAAUUAUGUUCCCAAGUGAUAUGAUUUUCUUUGAUGGGCUAGAUAUAUAUACAAUCCACAUAAACAAUAUAGACCAUAAUUUUGGUUUAAUAAAUUGCCAAAUUUGUCACACAUAUUCAAAGACUCAAUCAAUCCUUUUUUACUUUUCAUAUUUUUCAACACUAUAACUUGUGUUUGGAUGAAGAAUUUUCAAUAUUUUGAUAUUUUUAAAAUGCUAGAAUUUUAGAAUUCAUAAAUUCAAAAUGUUAGGAUUUGCAAUUGCUUUGUUUGAAUAAAUAAAUAAUUUAGAAAAAAAAUUAGGUUAAUAGAAUUUUAAAAAUUAAAAAUAAUUAUAAAAGAAGAAUAAUUAUAUUAAAAUAAAAAUAUAAAAAAUAUUCAAUAUGGACAUUAUUAGACAAUGUGUAUUAAAUCAAAUAAAAAUUUGGAGGAAUUUUGAAAAACCACCUACAUAAGUGAAAUUUGAACUACUAAAAUUCCAUCUUGAAAUUAUCUAAAAAUUUUGAAAUUCUUCAAAAUAUUUACCUGUACAAAUAAAUUCAUAUUUACAAUUUUGAAAACCUUGACACAAAUGAAAUCUCUCCUAUAAAUUCUUUACCCAAACAUAUCCUUGUGCCACUAAUGCAGGAUAUGCUAGAUGCUAACUUGUCAUCAGCACCACAAUUGUAACACCCCAAACCCGACCUAGACGUUAUGGCCGAAUCCGGGAGUGUUACGAAGAAGGGUUUUGAAACUGUUUUUACUUUGACAAAAACCUUGUGAAGUUAUUUGAUAUAAAGUGUCCAAAUUUUGCAAAACAUAUUCAUUUACUUAUUCAUUACCAAAAUUGUCGUUAUUUUCCAAAACAUAAUUGCAGCGAAAAUCUUAAAAAUCAUUAUAUUUUAGAAAUCUAACUCAUAUUUACAGAAAAACCUUUAUUUUCGUAAACUGUUUCUCACAAUCAUCACAGGAUAGAAAACAACCAAAACCAAUAGUUAAAACCAUACAAUCCAAAGAAUCCCAAAAGUUACAAACUCUCAAAUAAAUCCAAAUUUUUUUAAAAAAAAUCAGAAACUCAAAGGCAGUUUUAAACUAGUGGUCACCCUGAGCCUUCGUCACACUGACCCGCCUAUGUCCGAAGGUUACCUAAACAGAACAGACAAACAGAGGUGAGUUUUUGUAAACUCAGUGUGUAACCCAACAGAGAUAGUCAUGCAAUUUUACACAGAAUUCUCAUAAGCAGAAUAGAUACAAAUAUGGACUUAAGUCCUUAACAGAUUCAAAUAUCAGAAUUAGAUAAUCCAGACAGUUACAUAGAAUCCUACCCUCAUCCUUUACCCACUAUCCCCAUCCAUCCCAUCACACCAUAUGAGGUUAAAAACACCCUCCUAUCCCUACACACCAUAUAAUGUCGACGCGACACAUAACAGAUAAUAUAUAGUCAAGCUGCCAGAAUAUAGGUGUAAGGUCGCAUUACAGAUCACUUCCUCCACAUAUACAAAUCUCAUCCCCACAUACAGAUAUAGAAUACAAACAAUAGAUAUAACAGAAUUACAUGUCUAACAUUCUCGUAUAUAGAUAUCAUAUAUGCUCACACAGACAAUCAGACAUAUACAUCAGUAUCCUACUCAGAUCAGACUAUCCACAUGCUAGAUCUCAUAUAAUAGGGUUUUGUUAGCUAUUACUGACCCUACAGUAGGCCCAUAGUCAAUCGGAAAGACCCGUGCAAUCCUAGGAAAAAUUGUAGAAUUUUGGGUCCAUAUUCCCAUGUAGGCCGACACGCCCAAUUUGGCAUUGCUCGUGUGGGCCACACGGCCUGGCCCAAAACCCACAUGCCUAAUCUGGCCUAGCUCUUGUGGCCUACACGGCCACACAUUCACUUUCACAUAGCAGUGUCUCACGCACAGCCACACCUUCAGCAAUCACACGACCGUGUAUCGUACACGGCUGGCCACACGCUCGAGUGGCGUUGACAGUCCCCCUUUUCAGCUUUUGUCGAACCUCAUUUUCUCAUGUUUUAGGUACACACCUGGUACGAUUUUAAUUGUACUGCAAUCCCGAGCCCACCAGAACCUAAAAAUCAACAUCACACACUCCCACAAUCAGUUUUAAUUCUCAAUUAAACCAAACCAACAAAAUCGACAACGGUGUAAUUUAAGUGUUCAACACUUACCCACUUCCCUGAACGGUUUCGACUAUGAUUUCGCAAGAGGAGAGCCCCGUUCUUUACGAUUCACUGCUACCAAUACCCAAAAUCAACUAACGAAAAGAAAAGAAUAGAAUCGAUGUAGAACGACUUAAGAACAAUUCCCAAACCCAUACGAAAUUCACCCCCUACACUUACCAAACCGCACAACAACACCGAAGAACUGGAAUACAUUGCCAGAAUUCAGAAAGCAAGGGAAAUAGAGGAUUUUUCUAGUUAACAGGAAAAAGAGUCAAAAGUUUGAGAAAUUUUGGAGGAGAGAGAGAAAAAGAAAUAAUAAAAAAAUAAAAUAAAAACAAAAUGACAACAUAUCCCCAAAUUUUCUCCCACUCCCCACUAAACCACAACUACCUCAGAAUUUCGGUUCCACCAAACCUCUAUCAGACACUCGAAGCAAAAAUUAACAUACUUAUUCACACAGGGAUUCAAACACAAAACCUCCAACAAACUAACUCUUUACCACCAGACGAGUAAGCCUAUUCUAAUAUAAAUUUACAAACAAUACUACGUAAGCCUACCUAACAGAGAUAAGGCUAGGAUAAAAAAUAAUAGAAUUUCCAAAGAGUGGGAUUUGAACCCAAUACCUCAUACACAUACCCAAAACACUUAACCACUAAAACAUGUGUUAAGAUUCAUAGAAACAAAAAUAAAUUAUUCAGGGUGUUACAACAAUUCAUAUGUACUUUAUGCUAAUGUAGUAUUAUUUUAUCUCAUAUCUCAUAUCUCAUAUUAGCAAAUAAUUUAAAAAUUAAAACAAAAUGAAAAGUUAAAAUAAAAAGUCAAAAAUAAUUGAAUUUUAUUUCAAAGGGAAUAUAUAUUUUAUUAAUAAAUAAAAGUUAAACUUUCUUUUUCUUAUUAUCAUGAACUUAAUUCUUGUAGAAAAAUAAAACUUUAAAUGAAUCAAAUUAAUAUAUAAUAUAUUAUAAAGACCCCAUAUAUCCAUUGGCAACAGCUAGAAAAUGACAGAAAAAAAAAAUUGGCUAAUCCUAUUUACUACUAUUUUUGUUACUCCUAAUUUGAAGGAUCAAGGAGGAAGAAGACCAGAUCUAUGGCUGCCACGUCUACUCAUUUAUUAAGCUAAUCAACUGUUGGAAUUUACCAAACAACAUUUUUUUGCUGAAAAUUAUUUUCAUUGUAAAUUAUUGAAAUACAACAAAACAUAUUAAUACAUAAUCAAAACACACUUUGAUCCAAUCUCCAGUAAAUUAUACCAACUUUAGACCAACAUGUUUACACAUGUUUUUUUCCCAUCAAACUACAUACCCAUAGUAGCCCAAGACACAUAAUCUGAAUCCAAUGCCCUCCAUCAAACUACAUACCCAUCAAACUAUAUUUAACACUUUUCCAUUUUCAUUGUCUUUUGCCCAUUAACAACCACUUGGUGUCCAUCUUCUUUAUCACAAUCCAAUGCCCUCCAACUUAUAAUCUGAAUAAUUAGAUGCUUUAAAAAUAGUGCCAUGUUCUUCAACUUCCUCUAAUUACCUAUAAUCCAUCUCUGUUUCUUUCUAUUUUGUUCCCUGAAUUUCCAUUUUGCUUCUUUCUCAUAGUUUCAUCAUGCCUGUCAUUGGAGAGACAGCUCUUUCUGGGUUUUUGAAGCUGCUGGUGCACAAAUCACUCAACUCUGCACUCGACUUUGUUGCUGAUCACAAGCAAGUCGACCAACAGCUGAAGCAGUGGCAGUCCAUAUUACUUGAUAUCCAAGUUUCCCCAUGGUUAAAUUUUCAAAAGAAUUUAUCUGUUUUAGAUAUCAAUUUGGGUCAACAGCACACGUCCACCAACUGCACUUGGCCGCUCCUCUUUCACCUUACGAGAUAUCCAAAAUUUCUGCAUCAGAAAUAUCUAAAACAGAUAAAUUCUUUUGGUCAAAUUAUAAUAUUAAAAUUUCUAAAUUAAAAAUAUUCUAAUUUUAUAUACUCUUUUGUAUAUUUAAAAUAUAAAUCCUUAUAUAUUUUUUUAAAUUUAUAUUUAAUUAUUAACACCAUUAAAAUUCUCCUAUUAAAUAUACUAAACAUAUUUUUUAUUCAUGGUGAAUGUGGUAUGAUGGAUGGACUUACAUUGGUGUUUUUCAUGCAUUGGGGGUUGGGUUUUACACUUUCUUCUAUUCAAUAAUUAUUUUAAGACUGCAUUACCCACGUUUUAAGAGUGCAUUAUUCACGUGAAUUAUUUUCCAUCUCUCCAUUUCUUCCACCCACUAUCCUUUUCAACAUUUUGCAUAUUUAAAAUCAAUUUCUUAGUUUUAAUAAAUUAUUUCAACUUAAAAUAUAUCUUAUAUACAUCUAGAAUGUUUCCCAUUGAUAAUCAAAUGCUUAAACUAAGUUGGCAGCAAAGAACUUCUCGGAAAUUUCAAUCAUUCUCAGUCUCGUGCCUAUAAAUUUUGUAUUUAAUAAGUCCGGUAUAUAUUGUACUUUUUCAUAAUUAUAUAAUAAUAAUUUAAUUAUAUGCAUUUAAGGAUUAAAUUGAUAUAAUUUGCAAAUAUGAAUAAUUAAAUUUAUUAAAUUAUUCUGAAUUAGGAUCAAAUUGAUAAAAUAAAUAAGUUUUGAGGAAUAAUUAUGUUAUUAUACCAAUUAAAAAAGAAACAUGUCUUCACUUCCGUUAACCAUUCAACGGAGACUGACAAUAUAGAAUCGAUCUAAAACGUUAUGAUAAAAUUGAAAAUUUAUAUAAUUGGGUGGCUAAUUAUAUAAUUUGCCCUAAAAAAAAGACCUAACAUGAUUUCACAAUAACUAGUCCUAACUCUCAAGUAUAGCUUGGGAUACAUCUAAAAAGAGCCAUAAUAUAUACAGAAAAUAUUUUAAAGAAAAUACCUUGGAGAUGACCAUCCUAGUCACGAAGAAUGCAUCCACAGCGCGCUGGACAAGGUUUGCCCCAAGCCGAUCCAUCGACAUCAAAUUUCAACUUACUGACAGGAGGAGGGGUCCAAGAAACCAAGUUGCGAUAAAUUAUUUUAGGAGUCGAACGAGGUCCUUCAAAGGGAUGCAUCCACCAAUCAAGUUCAGUAACAGAUUCAUGAUCAGAUACCUUAAUCCAAGCAAAGGAUCAAAGUUUACAGAGGUUUAAUAAAGAACCAACAUCCCACCAUUAUUCUUGAAGACCGUCUAGAAGUUUAACACCUUUCGCUGCGCAAACUAUGGAACCAACCCCCAUAUCAAAGCAAUCUCACAAUGAAAAUUGCCCUGUUUGGGAUAAUGCCACUUUCUCUUCUCCAGCCAGUUUCCUGCACAUCAGCUAUAACAUGAAAGAAAAUGAAAAAGAAAAAAAUUAAAAAAACCAUACAUACAUACAUAGGUAGAAGUACCAUACUAAGAGUCGGAUUAUAUUUUGUUAUUUUUACUAAAAACAUGAGCAAAUUAAUUCCUCUACCAUAGAUUAAAGAGCAAACUAGUCAUUUUUAUUAAAAAUUUCAUUUCAUCCAUUUAUAUUGUUAAAGCUAUCGAAAAAAGCUAGAUAAGGUGAAUUUCAAACAAAGAUAGCAACCAAGUAAGACGAGUUUUUUUUUACUAGCUCAUGUUGCUUCAACUUGAUUUUUAUGUAUAUACACUCACUUAAACUCAAAUUUUGUUUAAUACUUUAGCCUUCUAUUUUGACCAUAACCCUUAAAAGAUCUAAUCCCAUGACCAUUCAUAUGAAAAUUUACGUAAUGUAGAUGUCAAAAAAGAAAAAAGAAAAAAGAAAAUUUACGUAAUGUUUUAUAUUACGUUAGCUUUUACAGAAUUAAUCCGAAUUAAUUAUAUUUUACAAAAUAAAAAGUGAUAUUUUAAUGCGCGAUACAAAAAUUUGACUCUAAAAAUUUUAACGAAAAAGUCUGAUCCACCUUGCUUCAAACUCAAAUUUUAAAAAUAGAAUACCAUCUCUAUAUGGCCGAGGUGGAUUGAAUCCCGACAACUUAAAUAGAACUUUUGCCAAUCUCAAUUUCAAAUAUUGGUAUGUGUUUGACAUGAGUAUAUUAAAACUUUUAUAAAUUGUUUCAUAAUGUUAAAAAUUGAAUGUUGAUAAUGACAAUGUAGAAAGAUGGCAAAGAAAAGAAAGAAAAAUAGAACAUAUAGAUUUUAUAUGGAAACCCUUUCAGGAAAAAACUACAGGUAGAUGUGAAGAAAAUUCACUAAUGUCGAAUUCAAAUGAUACAAUAAGAGUUUUGACUAUAUCUAUUUAUAGGUUGAAAAAGUCUUAUUCUAAUCAAUGUAAAAUAUAUUAUGCUGAUAAUUGCUAAUAUAUUAUACUACUAAAUCUUCUAAAAAGAAAAUAUAUUUUGUUUAACUUGACUUGCAAGUAAGAUUUUGUUUAACUUGACUUGUAAGUAAUGUCUUAGAAUUUGAGUCAUAGAACUCUAAUAAUCUCCACCUUGAUAUGAAUUCUCAACAAAUAAGUUCUUCACCAUGAACUUUUAACAAACAAGUUCUUCACCUCUUUCACGAAACCCCUUAAAGGUAUUCUACAACAAUGAACACCAGCCAAGUCCAAAUAAUGCUCGAACAAGAAAAUAUAUUAUGCUUAAACACUCCUUGUUUACGGAUUUUUAUGGAGAGAUAUUGUACGUAAUGCAAGGUAUUUGGGGGAGUAAUUUGUAAUAAUUUGGGUACGAUUUUAAGGUUGCAAUUAUCUAUUAGGAUAGGGUAGAUUAACCUCUAGCCAAUAGUUAUGUUGAAUGAAUUGUUAAAUAAAAUCAUUCAAUGAGUGAUGCUUUACAAAUGUAAGAUUGAUGAAUUCAAAUUGCGCUAACAAAUUUUGUAUGUUGAUUUUUUUUUCACUUUAUCUCUUUGACUCAUGUUUUAAAUUUGUGUUUAUUUCUCUCUUUGCUUUGUUUAUUGCAUUGAUGUGGUUAAACGGUGCUGUCGAAAUCUAAUAUUUUAUGAACGCAUUAAACUUUCACCCAUUAAUUCCAUUAACUCCAUAUCCGAAGUUCUAGUGCAAUUACACUUAGCACACACACGUGCCUGUGAGAAAAAACUUAUUUCUCCAUUUAAUAUGUGACUUCAUAAGGCACCAAGCAGCCAUUCAGUCAAGGGCAUAACACACCCUGUAAUUGGUCCCACCAGGGCAAGUAAAUGUGCAAGUUUGAUCAUCUUUAGGGUAACUAUAUAUAUCGGGGCAUCUUGCCUUGAAGAACAUAGACAAAGUUAGAAUUUUUUUGUCGGAAUUAAAUUAUAUAUUUUUAUAAUAGUAUAAUGUAAUUUUGUCAUUUUAAUAGUUUAUAUUUUUAUAAUUUUUAGAAGGUUAAAUCAAAAUUUUAUCAUUUUUAAGGGAGUCAAAGGGCAAUUUUACCAUUACUAAUUUAAAAUUUUAUAAAUUAUGAAAACUUUUGAAUAACGUAAAAUUUUAAGGGAGUCAAAGUACAAUUUUAUAAAAUGUAAAAUUUUCCGUUUUAGGAGAACCAGACUCUGCUAACCCCUAGAUUCAUCCCUGUUGAAUAACGUAAAAUAACCCGUUGGGCCACAAUUCCCUGAAUUGCAACAAUAUUGAUCGGCUUUGUAGAUGGUGCAAGGGUUAUUGCACACACCUGGGGCUUUCAAUAGAUUAGGGCACUGCCCUACGGUAUCAGCUGCGCAUCCAAAGAUUAUAAAUUCCGAACCUGCUAAAAAAAUAUCAGAAUUUGAAUUUGCCCCUUCUAAAUUGGAACAUUUUCUUAUUAACCAACCAAAGCGAAUGGUUGAACAAUGCUGAAUUGCCUAAGUCAAGGUCUUUUCAGUUUGCUAAGGCAUUGAUUGAAUACUAACAAAGAAUCUCUGUUAUUCUCUCAUUUUCCCUUUGAAAUGAUGGAUUAAACCUAUAAACGUGGAAUAACUGGUAAUUUAUACCAUUUCUUUUAAUUUUUGUGCUUAGUUUUUACUUAAUUAAUGUUUAAGAUAAGAUUUGAAUCCUUGUAACUUGUCUGAGUGGAUUUGUUUCAAGUUUCAUCGGGUUUAAAUAAGGGUGUAAGGAAGGGGUAGAUCGAGUCUCAACAUCCUUCACUUCUACAUUGUUUUCAAUUUUUAAAACUUGUAGUAUUUUUAUACUUAAAAAUUGGGAAAAAAAAAUUAUUUUGAGCCUCAAAAAAUUUAUAAAAAUAUAAAAUUUUAGACAAUGACAUUCGUAUCUAUCUGUAGUAUGGACGAAAUAGCAAAUGAAAAGAGAGAGGAACCUUUGAUCUUAACAAAAAGAAAAAUACUAUUUAUUCAUACAACACAUAUGGUAGACAUGUACAUAUGCACAUAAGCUUAUGCUAUAAGAAUAGUUGAUUUCUUGGGUUCAUAGAUAAGAAGCAAAGCCCUAAAGAGUGAAAAAUAUGGCCAAUACUUUGAUUUAGAAUCUUCAAUCAACUAAGUUAAAUUUCGGAUUUAGAACCUUCGAUUUCAUUGGAUUCCUUUUUCUCUUACUUAUUAUCGUCAAGAUAUUGUUGGUAGAUAUAAAAAUCAAAGCCCCAAAGAGUGAACAACAUUGCCCAUACCUUAAUUGCAUCCAUUUUCUCCUUAUAAAACAGAACACCAACAACUGGAACAAAUGGCAAACUAAGCAUACUCACAGCAUUUGAGAACAAAGAUGACACCAAAUAGAUCAAUCCCACUACUCCCAUUGUACAAAUCUGCCAUGCCAAAUCUGUUCCAAUCAAACUCACUACAUAAAUCACCUUCCUUUAUUCAAAUUUCUCCAUUUCGAACUUUAAAUCCAUGAAAUCCAAACUGAAAAAACAACACGAACAAACAAACAAAACUCGAAACCAAUGAAAUGUAAAUCUGCAUUUCAAACACAACACUAAAUGUGCCCUUUUUCAGUAUUUUGUCAAAUAAGAAAUGUGUUAGAGACAACAAUAAAGCAUAGCAUGCUGAAGCACCAACUAUUGCUAUAAACCCAAUGGUGUAUUCAUUCUUUCCUACUGGAUUUUUCUCAUCUCUUUUGGUCUCAGAACUAUCGAGAUGAAUUGCAACCAUUGAAGCUUGUUGGAAUUUCGAUGUUAAGAAAGGGAAAAUUACGGAGAAGAAACGAGUAAUUUAGCAACAAAACUAUCUGCUAAAGUUUUCAUCUAUUUUCACUCAAAUUUUGAACAAUGAAACAAGAGCUAUUUAUAACAAGAAAAACUCCUAAAUAUGGAAAGAAAUAAAAAAUAUUUUAUGCUAAUAAAUGUAAAAUAUAUUAUACUAAUAAAUACUAAACAUCCUAAAAAAUUAGAAAACAUAAUCUAAAAACAUAACUUGCACGCAAGUUCUUUAAAUCCAAUUGCUAAUUCGCAGCUUCGUGCUUCAAACUGCUCACAUCUUUAUAGCAACCCUAGUUCGCAUUUUACCCAUGACCCCAAUUCGCAUUUUAAAUCUAGUUCACCAAAGUAAUCAACUCAUGAAUUACUGUUCAUUUGUAAGAGCUCGCCACUUAAUGUUCAUUUGAGGUAGCUUCCCAAUCUUAAAGGGUUUGCCAAUCCUGCAUGUUGCAUGAAUGGUCAUCUCGCAACACUCCUCCUUGACCUUCAUAUUGCGAACACUAAUUUUAUCUCUCAGCUUCUCAAACAUUGUCUUUCCAAGUGCUGACAUUUCAAACAUAUUCUCCAUUUGCAACUUAAACUCCUUUACUAAAUAAUUGAUGCUCCCAAUCACAAACAGAUCGUCAACAUAUAAUGAAAUAAUCAGCGAAGUGACUUCGCUAGUUUUCUUCACAUACAUGGUGGGUUCGCUAGGACACUUUUCAAAUCUCAAGCUCGUAAAGUGCUCGUCUAUCCUCGCAUACUAGGCUCGCGGAGCCUGUUUCAAUCCGUAUAAGGUUUUCUUAAGUCUAUAUAUCUUACUUUCUUUUCCUCUAACUGCAAACUCAGGAGGUUGCUCCACAUAGAUUUCUUCCUACAAGUAUUCAGAAAAGUUGAUUUAACAUCCAGUUGAUUUUCCAAAUCAUUUAUGCUGCCAAGGCUAAUAAUAAUCUAAUCGUGUCCAGUCUUGCUACUGGUGCAAAAGUCUCCCAGUAAUCAAUGUCAUAUUGUUGCCUGAAACCUUCCACAACAAAUCUCACCUUCAACCUAUUGAGUGAAACAUCAGCAUUGAGUUUGGUUUUGAAUACCCACUUGACGUCAAUAAACUUUUUGUGCGAUGGUUUGUUAACAAGCUCCCAAGUCUGGUUCUUGUGAAUCAUAUUAAACUUCUCCCACAUGGCUUCUUUCCAGCCUUCUAUGGUUUCAGCUUCUUCAAAGCUCGCAGGUUCAAGUAGUGCUAUGUCAGCUCAAUGAUAGAUCUCAUCAAUUGAUCGCGUUCCCCUUACCGAAGUUCUGUCAAAGUCUGCUUCAAUUAGAUCAUCACCAAAUUGCGAUCCCAACUUACUUCCAUAAUUAUAAUGUUGCAAACCUUAUUCACACUUCAUUUGUUCAAGUAUUCAACUUUAGUAGAAUCCUAAUUCUAUGCUUUUCCUUAUUCGAACACAAUAUCCCUGCUCACAAAAAUUUUAUUAGAGGAAUGAUCAUAAAUUCUAUAACCCUUUUUAUGUCUACUAUACCCAACGAAAAUACCUUACUGCAACCUCCUCUCUAACUUGCUUAUUUUCACAUGUUGCAUAAAAAUAAAACAAACGCAACCAAAAACUUUCAAGUGAGAAGCAUAGGGUUUAUUCCCAAACCAUGAUUCGAAUGGAGUCUUCUUUUUUACAGCCUUGGUUGGUAGCCUGUUCAACAAAUAAAUUGACGUGUUCAGUACCUCAGCCCAAAAUUCUUUUGGCAACUUGUUUUCAAACAACAGACAUUUCAAUAUGUCCAUUACUAUCCUAUUUUUCCUUUCGCACACCUCAUUUUACAGCUGAGUGUAAAUGUUGGUGAGCUGAUGAUGGAUUCCAACUUCUUUAUAGUAGCUUUCAAAUUUAUCAGAGGUGUACUCAGUGUUAACAUUAAUGGGAGACAACAUUAAUGGCAAACAAUACAAAGUGGUGCAAGUUUAGCACCCUAAAUUUGACUUUGAAAAAGUGGCAUGGGAUAAUUUUUUUUUGGUCCUUGAGAUAAUGGGCUAUUUAUUGUUUGGUCCUUAAACCUCAACUAUAAAUAGGCCUUCUCAUUUCUCAUUUCAAUUCAUCCCAACCAAUCUUUCUCUCUUAGUUUUCUCUCUUCUCCCAUUUGAGAAUUCUUAAGGAAUUCUAUUUGUUUGUAAUACUUUGAAGAUAGUAAAGUUAUCAUCUGGUGUUAGUGCCCGAGGACGUAGGUAUAAUUUACCGAACCUCGUUAAAACUCUUGUGUUCUUUCUUGUCCUAUUUUUCUUUCAAUAUUUGAGGGUAUAAUAGUAGUAUUUAAUUGUGCUAUUAAAUUACUAUAGAAGGGAUAUUCUGUCUAAGGAAAGACUUGGUAUUUAAGAGAUCCUUGUGAUCCACCUCUCUUCCCUGGGAAUUGAACUUUGUGUGAUUUUUUAGUACAAUAAUUUACACGCUUCCGACCCUAUUGGAACAACAAGUGGUAUCAGAGCCGAAGGUUAAUCGUAGUAUGCUCUGUGGUUGCAGUUUGAACUGAUCUUCCACAUCAGAAAAGAUUUCCUUAGGUAUAUUGAAAGAUUAUGGAGAAAACGGUCGGUGUAGGAGCUUCAACAUCGUCCAUGUGGACAAGACCGACAAUUGCAAAUGCAAGAUUGGCCGUGGAGAUCUUUGAUGGCACGGGCCAUUUUGGUAUGUGGCAAAGUGAGGUUCUAGAUGCCCUUUUUCAGCAGGGUCUAGACAUUGCCAUUGAUGAAGAGAAACCAGAUGAUGUACAGGAGAAAGAUUGGAAGGCGAUCAAUCGGUUGGCAUGUGGCACAAUUCGAUCAUGCCUUUCUCGAGAGCAGAGGUAUGCUUUUUCAAAGGAGACUUCUGCAAAUAAGUUGUGGGUGGCACUUGAAGAAAAAUUUUUGAAGAAAAACAGUCAAAAUAAGCUCCACUUGAAGAAAAGACUGUUUCGCUUCACAUACGUCCCAAGUACCACAAUGAAUGAUCACAUCACCAAAUUUAAUCAGUUAGUCACUGAUUUGCUGAAUAUGGAUGAGACAUUCAAAGAUGAAGAUUUGGCUUUGAUGCUGUUGGGGUCACUUCCUGAGGAGUUUGAGUUCCUAGAAACUACUCUACUUCAUGGCAGGAGUGAUAUAUCUCUGAGCGAAGUCUGUGCGGCCUUAUACAGUUAUGAACAGAGAAAGAAGGACAAACAGAAAAACUCAAUCAGAGAUACAGAAGCUUUACUAGUCCGAGGUCGUUCAUACACUCGGAAGAAAACUCAAAAGGGGAGAUCAAAGUCAAAGUCCAGACUCGGGAAAGAUGAAUGUGCUUUUUGUCAUGAGAAAGGCCACUGGAAGAAAAAUUGUCCAAAGCUGAAGAAUAAGGGAAAAGCUGCUGUAGAUGCUUGUGUUGCUAAGCAUGAUACUAGUGACUCUGAACUAUCACUGGUUGCAUCAUCAUCGUCGUUCCAUUCAGAUGAGUGGAUAUUGGAUUCGGGUUGUACCUAUCAUAUGUCCCCUAACCGGGAGUGGUUCUCUGAUUUAGUAGAACUAAAUGGAGGAGUUGUUUAUAUGGGCAAUGACAAUGCCUGUAAAACUGUUGGGAUAGGUUCAAUCCAAUUAAAGAAUAAAGAUGGAUCAACCAGAGUUCUGACUGAUGUUCGGUACGUGCCCAGUUUGAAGAAAAAUCUCAUCUCAUUGGGAGCCUUGGAAUCCAAUGGUUCAGUUGUUACUAUGAGAGAUGGGGUUUUGAAAGUGACAUCUGGCGCACUUGUGAUAUUGAAGGGCAUCAGGAAAAAUAACUUGUAUUACUACCAAGGUAGUACAGUUAUUGGAGCAGUCGCUGCAGCUUCCGGUAACAAAGACUUGGACUCAAUGCAGUUGUGGCAUAUGAAGUUGGGACAUGCCAGCGAAAAAUCCUUGCAAAUUCUGGCAAAGCAAGGAUUGUUGAAAGGUGUAAAGGCUUGCAAAUUAAAAUUUUGUGAGCACUGUGUUCUGGGAAAGCAAAAGAGAGUGAAAUUCGGCACUGCUAUCCAUAAUACAAAAGGUAUUUUGGAAUAUAUUCACUCAGAUGUGUGGGGGCCUUCCAAAACACCUUCAUUGGGAGGAAAACACUACUUUGUUACUUUUGUUGAUGACUUUUCCAGAAGAGUUUGGGUGUAUACCAUGAAAACUAAAGAUGAAGUGCUUGGAGUUUUUCUUAAAUGGAAAACUAUGAUCGAAAACCAGACUGGCAAGAAAAUCAAGCGGCUUAGGACGGACAAUGGAGGGGAAUAUAAAAGUGAUCCGUUCUUCGAUGUGUGCCAAGAGUAUGGUAUUGUUCGACACUUCACAGUUAGGGAUACACCACAGCAGAAUGGAUUGGCAGAGCGUAUGAAUCGAACAUUGCUGGAGAAAGUUCGAUGUAUGUUGUCCAAUGCUGGGUUGGGCAAGCAAUUUUGGGCUGAGGCUGUGACAUACGCUGGCCAUCUUGUUAAUCGUUUGCCAUCAUCUGCAUUAGAAAGAAAAACUCCUAUGGAGGUAUGGUCUGGAAAACCGGCUACAGAUUAUGAUUCCUUACAUGUGUUUGGAACCACUGCAUAUUACCAUGUGAAGGAGUCAAAGUUAGAUCCGAGGGCAAAGAAAGCUCUCUUUAUGGGAAUCACUUCUGGAGUGAAGGGAUUUCGUCUUUGGUGCUUAAGCACAAAGAAAAUGAUCUGUAGCAGAGAUGUUACCUUUGAUGAAUCUACCACAUUGAAAAAGGUAGCAGAUAAAGAUAUUCAGACGAGCAAUACUCCACAGCAGGUGGAGUGUACUCCAAAACAGGUGGAGUUUGAGCAGAUGGGGAUUUGCCCAGUUAAUAAGUCUAAUUCUCCAGCCACAAUGGAGGAAUUAGAGGUUGAAGAGGUUCUGACCCAAGAACCACUAAGUACACCAGAACCAGUUGCAGUUGUAAGGCCACGGAGAGAAAUUCGUAAACCUGCUCGAUUUACUGAUAUAGUGGCCUACGCCCUUCCCGUUGUUGAUGAUAUUCCUAUCACUUAUCAAGAAGCAAUGCAAAGCUUAGAAAGUGAUAAAUGGAAAAGCGCCAUGGAUGAAGAAAUGCAGUCUCUCCGGAAGAAUAAUACUUGGGAGUUGGCGCAAUUACCGAAAGGUAAAAGGGCAAUCGGAUGCAAGUGGGUAUUCGCAAAGAAAGAUGGAUCUCCUAGCAAGAAGGAUAUUCGCUACAAGGCAAGAUUGGUAGCUAAAGGCUACGCUCAGAAGGAGGGAAUUGACUACAAUGAUGUAUUUUCCCCUGUUGUGAAGCAUUCCUCCAUUAGAAUUUUGUUGGCCUUGGUAGCACAGUUGAAUUUGGAGCUAGCUCAACUUGAUGUUAAGACGGCUUUCUUGCAUGGUGAGUUAGAAGAGGAGAUCUAUAUGACUCAGCCAGAAGGAUACACAGAUGCUGGUGGUAGAAAUUGGGUUUGUAAGCUUAACAAAUCGCUAUAUGGAUUGAAGCAAUCCCCGAGGCAGUGGUACAAGCGAUUUGAUAGCUUUAUGAGAAGGCAGAAGUACACAAGAAGCAAAUAUGACAAUUGUGUAUAUUUGCAGAAGCUGCAUAACGGAUCUUUCAUUUAUCUACUCUUGUAUGUUGAUGAUAUGUUAAUCGCUUCGAAGAGCCAAAAUGAGAUAGAUAAGCUGAAGGCUCAGUUGAAUCAAGAGUUCGAGAUGAAAGAUCUAGGUGAGGCCAAGAAGAUUCUCGGCAUGGAGAUAAGUAGAGAUAGACCGAGAGGCAAGCUCUGUUUAAAUCAGAAGCAAUAUCUGAAAAAGGUAUUACAAUGUUUUGGUGUAAAUGAAAACACAAAACAUGUAAGUACCCCACUUGCUUCUCAUUUGAAACUUAGUGCUCAAUUAUCUCCGAAGACUGAAGAUGAAAGAGAAUAUAUGGCGAAAGUCCCAUAUGCUAAUGCAGUUGGGAGUUUGAUGUAUGCGAUGGUGUGUACGAGGCCUGACAUUUCACAAGCUGUUGGAGUUGUGAGCAGGUAUAUGCAUGAUCCCGGAAAAGGACAUUGGCAAGCUGUGAAAUGGAUUCUACGGUAUCUUCGAAAAACCGUAGAUGUUGGUUUAAUUUUUGAACAGGAUGAAGCACUUGGUCAGUUUGUAGUUGGAUAUGUUGAUUCCAACUUUGCUGGUGAUUUAGAUAAACGUCGUUCAACUACGGGGUAUCUGUUUACUCUUGCGAAAGCCCCAAUAAGUUGGAAGUCUACCUUACAGUCUACAGUAGCUGUGUCUACUACAGAGGCAGAAUAUAUGGCAGUUACAGAAGCUGUUAAGGAGGCUAUUUGGCUUAAUGGAUUGUUGAAAGACUUAGGAGUUGUUCAAAGUCACAUAAGUUUAUAUUGUGACAGUCAGAGCGCUAUUCAUUUAGCGAAAAAUCAAGUCUAUCAUACAAGAACCAAGCAUAUCGACGUAAGAUAUCACUUUGUGCGGGAAGUCUUUGAAAAAGGAAAAAUUCUACUUCAGAAGAUUCCGACAGCAGAUAAUCCCGCAGAUAUAAUGACCAAGGUGGUAACAACAAUCAAGUUUAAUCAUUGUUUGAACUUGAUUAACAUCCUGAGAAUUUGAGCACCUUCAGGUGUAUGGCGCCCGAGAGUGCAUUUGUAGGCACUACAAAAGAUAGCUUUAUCGAAUUUGGGGAGUUGAAGGAAGUGUGUGAAGAUGUGAUUAUCCUAAUCAAAUCUUCAAGGUGGAGAUUGUUAACAUUAAUGGGAGACAACAUUAAUGGCAAACAAUACAAAGUGGUGCAAGUUUAGCACCCUAAAUUUGACUUUGAAAAAGUGGCAUGGGAUAAUUUUUUUUUGGUCCUUGAGAUAAUGGGCUAUUUAUUGUUUGGUCCUUAAACCUCAACUAUAAAUAGGCCUUCUCAUUUCUCAUUUCAAUUCAUCCCAACCAAUCUUUCUCUCUUAGUUUUCUCUCUUCUCCCAUUUGAGAAUUCUUAAGGAAUUCUAUUUGUUUGUAAUACUUUGAAGAUAGUAAAGUUAUCAUCUGGUGUUAGUGCCCGAGGACGUAGGUAUAAUUUACCGAACCUCGUUAAAACUCUUGUGUUCUUUCUUGUCCUAUUUUUCUUUCAAUAUUUGAGGGUAUAAUAGUAGUAUUUAAUUGUGCUAUUAAAUUACUAUAGAAGGGAUAUUCUGUCUAAGGAAAGACUUGGUAUUUAAGAGAUCCUUGUGAUCCACCUCUCUUCCCUGGGAAUUGAACUUUGUGUGAUUUUUUAGUACAAUAAUUUACACGCUUCCGACCCUAUUGGAACAACACUCAGUUCCAUUAUCAGGCCUGAUCUUCUUCAGCUUGCUUUCGGUUUGGUUCCGAACUUUUACUUUAAAUUUCCAAAAUACUUCAGCUACGUCAGUUUUUUUGUUUCAAAAUAUAAACCCAACAAUACCUGGUACAAUCGUCAAUGAACAAGACAAAGUAUCUACACUCAUUUAAUGAUGAUAUUUUCAUAGGUUUGCGUACAUCAGAAUGAACGAACUAUAAAUUUUCAAGAGCUCGCCAAGUUUUGUUUGUUGGGAAUGGUAACCUCGUCUGCUUCCCAAGUUGACAUACUUCGCAGAUGCCACUUUGCUCCUCAAUACCGAUUAUUCUUCAACCCAACUUGCCUCACAUGUUCAACUUAGGGACUUAUAGUUCACAUGUCUCCAUAUUUUGUGCCAAAGGUUCACGUCAUCUACAGAACUGGUAUAGGUUUUUGGGUUCGCCAAAUUCCAGUCUAACAUAAUUUCUAUUUUUCAUCGAACCUGUUACAACUUCCUAUCCCAAUAAAUCAAAUAUAAUGCAACCACAAUUUUUAAAAGCCACGUUAUAAUUUUUCUUAAGUAGUUGACCAAUGCUAAGGAGAUUUUGAUCUAUUGCAAGUACUCAUAGAACAUCUAAAAUUACUUUAGUACCUUAUGGCAAGCUAAUCACCACUUCGCCUUUGUCCUUAAGUUCUAAGAGUUCGUCAUUACCAAUCCUCACCUUAAGAUCACAACUUCUAUCAAUUUUCUUGAAGAUGAUUUCAUCUGAGGCCAUGUGGUUGGUAAAUCCACUAUCAAUCAACCAAUCUUUCGCGAAUCUAUUUUUUGAUGCAGAAUAUGUGGUUGUGAACACUUGCUCCCCCUGAAUAUGAUCGCUUUUAGCUGUGAGUGUGCACAUUUUAUUACCUUUUCUUUUUGCAUACCUUCUGCACGUGUCUCAACUGCUUGCAUGAUAUGCAUUUUAUAUCUGGUUUGAACCAAAAAUAUUUCUCCAGGUGAGUUUUUCUCUUGCAGCGCGAGCAUGGAUGAUAUUUCUUUUUCCACCAUCUUGCAUCAACUUCUAUUUCAUCUUUGUCCAACCUUUCUUACUCUUAUGUUUCUAGGGUUUCACACUUUCAAUACUCAAGGCUAGUAAUGCUUCUUUUGUGUGUUCCUCUUGCCUUGAUGCUCUUAUUUGCUCUUGAACAUAUAGGGCAUUUAUCUACUUUGGAAAAUAAGUGGCUAAUAGGUCCCUUAAGUAUUCAAUUUGUUGGAACAUUUGGCAGCAAACACCAAACAGAUUUGCAAACAGAAGCAAGAAGAAUCGAAGCAAAAAGAAAAGCAAAACAAAAGCAGUGAACAAAGUUUGAAUACUCAAAAAAUUGUAACUGAACAUUACCACUUUUUCAUUCAAAUUUGAAAUAUAAAAGAAGUUACAAUGUACAUUGACAGUUACCUAAUGUAUUUAACUGCCCCAACUAAUACAAACCUAGUUGCUAGCUAAAAUUAAUCAAAUAUAGCUGACCAAUCAGCCAUUACAUCAAAAGAUCUUAUCACUAACUUAACUUCUACUAACAUUACAAGCAAACUAAGAUUGAACUAGACCAAAUUACAUUAAAACAAAACAGCAAUGUUGGUUGCUUCAUUCGGUCCAAAAAUCAUUCUUGCGCACCAAGCAAAAUGAGCUGAGCUCUGUAGGUGCUGCUGGUCUCGACAGUAGCUUACUGCUGGCUUCAUGUUGCAUUGCAGUCCAGCUCUCAACACAAUUGAGGAAAUCUUAGAUUCAUACCCCUCAGGAAGUGUUGUAAUGGCCUUCCCAACGACAAUGCUAUCUGCGAAUUGUUCCUCAAGUAACUUGAUGUUAUUAACUACCAGCAUAAUUUUGUUUGCAUAUUACUUCACUGUUUCAACCUCCUUCAUCUUCAAAUUCUCGAAAUCUCUCUUGAGAUUAAUGAGUUGUUGCUGUUUGGUCUUGUUUGAAGCUCCCUUUUAGCUUAUUUCAACCUUGUUUUAGAGUCUCAUGUGCCAUAAUACGUGUGAAUAUUACAUUUGAGAAGUCAUUCUGAAUGCAGGACAUUGCCUUUUUAGCUUGCUCGUCACUUUGGUGCUUGAUUUGAGCGACUAUUACAUUGUCCCUUAAUAGUGUGAGCUCGAUAUCAAUAUUCACAACCUCUUACAAGUCAUAAGUUUGCAGGUAGGUCUUCAUCUUAACAACUCAUAUAUUGUAGUUUUCACCAUUAAAGACUAACAGUGAAGGUGGACAAAAGUUGCAGAAUGCAUGUUUAAUUAAGAAAGAAGCAACAAUUACCCUUCAGAAUAGAAGUUCUGAUACCGAUUAUUGGAAUUUCGAUGUUAAGAAAGAAAGAAUUGCAGAAAAGAAACAAGUAAUUUAGCAACAAAAUUAUCUACUAAAGUUUCUAUUUAUUUUCACUCAUUUUUUGAACAAUGAAACAUGAGCAUUUAUAACAAAAAAAAAUUCUUAAAUAUGAAAAGAAAGAACAAAAUUUGAUGCUAAUAAAUAUAAAAUAUAUUGUACUAAUAAAUACUAAAUCUCCUCCAAAGCUGGAAAACAUAACUUGCAAUCAAGUUAUUUAAAUCCAAUUGCUUCGUAACUUCAUGCUUCAGUUUGCUGCAUCUUUACCAUGACCCUAGUUCACAUUUUAAUUCUAGUUAGCCAAAGCAAUGAGCUUGCCAAUCACUAUUUAUUUGUAACAGUUUGCCACUUACUGUUCAUUUGAGGUUGAACUUGAAGGUUGUUUUGUGAUAUCAAAUUCCAAGCUAUCAUUCCCUCGUCUAUCAAUCUCUUUGCCAUUUUUAUUUGAUGCCUUAGAGUAGGCAACAACUUUUUCAAUUAGCAAAAGGAAAAGAAAAUUCAACAAUACUCGAUAUAGAUCUGAAGAACAAUUGACAGUGUUGUAUAUUUUCCCUAUAUUCACAAUGUAGAGAUACCAUGAUAGGUACUAUUACAUUCCUCGUUAUAACCAAGCAUGAAUACAAUGAUCACUAACAACGAUGUCUGAAAGCAAAGCAUUGUAAAUUACCUAUGGUGAGAACAUCCGGAGUACAUGGAAACCUGCUCUACUAAUCCUGAAAUUUCUUCAUCCGAAACAGUUGUUGAAAUUUCCAUGAGCAAAAGAGACCUAUCAGUCAAGCCCCCCGGGCAGUACCUAAAAAUUGUUACAUCCGGAGCUGAAUGUCCCCUGCAUGACACAGUUAUUAAAGCAGAACCUCGGGCCCCGUGCUCUCUGAAUCGGAUAGGGAAGUAUUCAUUUCUUCAAAAUUCUCAGGCCUUGCCUCCAAUCUGACCCAAAACCAUUCUCAACCAGAUUGUAAAUGGUGAUGCAGUUGUUUAUAGUUCAAAAGUGAUUUAAGAUCCUCUCGUAUUCAUGGUCAAUAAAAACAUAACAUGAUGUUAUGAGAAAAGAAAAAGGAGAGGAAUCUCUAUAUAUACCUGAUUCUGCUUCGAGGCAAGAGAAUUGCAUUCAUUCUUCAUUGUGUUGGUCAACUGCAGAAAUCUUUGCUUCUCCCAAUCUAACCCUCUUUGAUGUUGGACUGAGUUUUGCUUCAUGUACAGUAUUGUGUUUAGAUUCACAAGAACUAUCAUGUAAGCCAAAUGGUUGAGAUCCAUUGACUGGAUGAACUGCUGAGAUUUUAUUCCAAAUAAUAGUAGAUAUCCUUGGAGUACCAUCGCGAGAGAUGCAUCGAAUUGAAUGGGAGAAGUCCUCAAGGAAACAAUAUCCCUCCAACUUGAUAUACCAAACUUAAAGCAGAACUGCCUAUUAUCAUACUUGGACGAGAGCUGAGAUAAAAUCAGAAGCAGACCAUGGUGAAUCCAAUAUGUGAAUCAAUAACAAAAAAAACCCAAAAAUGUUACAGAAAGUCAAAUUCUCGUAGCAUAUAUACAAUUAAAUAUGUUAUGUUUAUAUUAUACUUUGCGUAAACUACAUUUAAGGUCACUCUAAAAUAAAAUUUGUUCUAUUUUGGUAACUCUAAAUUUUUUCUCAAUUGAGAUAAAAACUUUGCGGACCUUUCUAUAAUUAAUCCAAAAUAUUUCUUUUCCUUCUCUCCUCUCUGUAACUCAAAAUGGAGAAACCAAAACAGGGCAUCACAAAGCUACCUGUCUUUCACCAUUUUCUCAACAAUAAAUCUGCGGCAACUACCAAUGAUAACCCAUCAUACAUCCUCAAAUAAUUAAAGAAGAAUAAACAUAUAUAAGUAAGAAUUGAAUGAAGAUGUUUUCAAAGAUUUAUCAUUGAAUUGGUUCAAUCGACUCGCCCAAAUUAUAAAUGCUAAAGAAAUAAAUUACAAGCAAUUGAACGAAGAUGGUUUCAAAGAAAAGACACGACCUAUGCUACCCUCUAUGAAUGUUGACCAACACCAAAAGAAUUCACUCUUAAUCGCCACGAAUGUUCAACCCUUAACGAAAAUUGUUUCAAUUUAUGUAAUUAGAUAAUAUUUUACACAAAACAUUAACACAAUUCCUAAUGAUUUAUAUAAUUAAAUAAUAUUUUGUCUAAUUAAAGCUUAGUGAAAGCUUAUUCUAGAAAUUACAUCCUAGGACUCCACUAUUUUUGUGACUUAGAAUUGUAUUUUUACUAGAUUUGGGGCUACGUUUCGCUGUGGCUUUUUCUAAGCAUAUUUGAAACAGAAACAUAUAAAUAUGAAUGGUGGAUGAACUUGAAAGGAAUUUAUGCAAUGAUAAUUGCUGUCGAAAUCUUUUUGAGAUCGUUUUGAAAUUGACUUUUUAUUUUUAAAAAAAUGAAAAUGGAGUCGCCACCAAUCACUUUCAGGAGGUGUGAUCGGGCCACCUCGUAAUUUGAUCAUUUUAAUAAGAGGUUUGAUUUACUAAAAAAAUGUUUUUCGGUCUACAAAAAUCCAAAAAAUGGGUUCAGGAGUUGGUUAUGCACGAGGAAGGAUUACCACCCUCGUUACCUCCAAAAUUGGUACCCAAUUGAUUACUUGAUGUCUUAAUGUCGAAAAUUAAAAAUUUGAAGAGAAUUUAAAAUACGAUCCCUUUGUAUUAAGAUAUUUUAAUAUAAAAGACUUUAUUUUGAAUUAAUCGAGAAGAAGGAUCAUGCCCCGUGAGUUAGGCCAUGACACCUUUAGUUUACGAAAACCAGAAUAAUUAUCGUUCAAAUCGUUGCUUAAAUCUCGUUUUUAUAUUUUUGAAAUGGAUAUUCAACUAUUUUGGUUUUAGAAAGAAGCCAUAUCCCGUAAGUUAGGAGCACGACUCUUCUAAUUCCAAAAAUAAUGAACAUUGCCGUGGUUUAAAAAUUUUAUUUUUUAUGCAUCAUGCGAAUAAACAAACAUAACACUUAAAACGAUAUGCAUUUAAUUUAUUUGGGCAUAAUAUACACAUGGAUAAAUGCUUAAACUUAAUGUAUGAUAUAUUGAUAAUGAAAUAAUUUAAAAUGGUUAUGUGGGUAAAAUGAUAAAUAAAAAGUAAAUAAAGGAAUAUUAUAAUAAUGACAUAAUUAUAAUAAUAUUAAUAAGCAUAUUAUAGUAAUUAUAAAUAAAUGAAGUAAUUUAAGAUAAAUAAAAAUGGAAAAUGCAUGAUUAAAAAGAUAAAUGGACAUGACAUGAAAGUGCCGAAAAUAAUAGGAGAAAUAAUAAAAUAACAAGAGCACACUAAAAAUAAAAUAAUAAAUGACAAUAAUAAACAAAAAUUGUACCAAUAAAAGCAUGUAUACAAUCUAAUUUUUAAGGAUGUAUAAAAAAUAAAGAGGUAAUAAAUAAAUAGAUAAAUAGAUAAUAAUAAAAUAGUAAUAAUAAUAAUAAAGACACAAAAGAAGAAAACAAAAGAAAUAAAUAAUCGAUAAAAGAAAAUAAAAAAUAUAAUAAAUAAAUGAAUAAAAGGAUUAAAAUAAAAAAUAACUGAAUAAUAUAUAAAUAGAUAAGUAUAUGAGUAAAUAAAUGAAUAACGUAAAAGGAAUAAUGAAUAAAUAAAUAAGCGAAUAAGUAAAUAAAUGAAUAAAAGAAUUAAAAUAAAAAGGACUUAAUUGCAACUUAAAUGAAAUUAAAAUUGUAAAUCGGGACAAAAUAAAUAAUAAGGGGCUAAACUGUAAUAAAAUAAAUUAAUAAAUAAAGGACUAAAUCAAAAUUUAAAUGAAAUUUAGGGGGCUAAAUUGUAAAUAAAAAUAAUAAAACAGAAUAAAGAACCAAAAUGAAAUGUACGAAAAGAAAUAGGGACUAAAUGGGAAAAUAUCCCAAACCUUAUUAAACCCACCGUUUCUUUGGCAAAUCAAGGGGAAAUAGGACCAAUUGAAAGGCAUUUAAAAAUGGAAGGACUAAACCGACAAAUAUCCCCCAUACAAAACAUGCGGAUCAUAGGGAUGGUUCUGGUCAAGUCAAUGGGUUGACUAAAACGACAUCGUUUCAGGUACCCACCUCUUUAAAUGGUCUAAGGACCAAAAUGAAAAUAAAAUAAAAUAAAGUGGAAAAAAAAAGAGAUAUGACUAGAUUGAAACAAACCGCAAAAGCGGAAGGACCAAGGCAGAAAUUAGACCCCCUUUUAAAAACACGCGGAUCCUGCUAGGGUCGGGUUGGCAGUUUUUGGCUUCAAAAUGACGUCUUUUUGGGGCACGCCGGCCAAAACGAUGUUGUUUAACCUAGCCUAUAUAAACAAAAAAAUUAUUAAAAAAUUCAUUAUGUUUACUAUUUUUAAAAAAAAAUUUGAAAACGUUUUUUCUUUUUUUUUUCUCUGAAAGGGGUCUGGGUUCGGCCAUUGGAGCUACCCACCGCGGCCACCGGCCAUCAGCAAUGGUGACUGCCAUCUUCGGUGGCUGAAAAAAUCCAGAAAAUCCCUGUUUAAUCCCCUUUUUUUUUCUUAAAAACCUCAUUUUGGGAAAAAAAGGUCAAAACAUUAGAGAAAUUGGGCCGACGGUCAUGAAACCUUUCGGUUUUUCUUCCCUCCGGCGAAGCCUUCAACUAAGCCCUAGGGGGACUCUAAGGCUUCUCGAGUCGGACACGGGCCUCCGACGACCGAAAACAGGUAAGAAAUCUUUCCUUUUUAUUUUUAAUCUUAUUUAUUACGAAAAAAAUAAAAAAUCAAAAAAUUACCUUUUAACUUUUUCUUUUCUGUUUUUUGUUGCUUUUUCGUCUCAUGGAGGCAGUUGACGAUGACAGACCUCGAGGCGCGAGCUUGUUGACGUGGGUGCGGCCCAAAAGGGGGCUAGGGUUUCUAUUUUUUUAAACUGUUUAGGUUUUUGGCCAUUUGGGCUAUUAGGGUUUUUAUUAUUUUGGGCCAUUUAGGCCUGUAAAUUUGGGCUUGACAUUUUCUGUAAUUGGAUUGUUUUGUUUUUUUAGUUUGGACUUUUUUUUGUAUCAUUUUUGUUUAAUUUUUCAUUUUAUUUGUUUGUAAUCUGGGCCUGGGCUAAAUUGGGUUAUUCACUUAUAACAUUCAUAGUGUAUCUUAUCUUAACCUUGAAUGGAUGAUGGGUUAUAUAUGUGUGACUUGUUUAUUUUGAUUUAAAUGAAAGCUUGAAUUCUAAUUAUAGAUAAGCAACUAAAAGUUGAUGCGUUGGGUGUAUACUUCUACAUUAUAUAGCUUCUUCCAUAAUAGUGGAAUUUAUAAUCAAAUAAAUGGAUCCUCUUAUUGACAUUACAUGAUAGAUAGAAAAAUAAUGUUGAAGUUAGGUAGGAAAUUAACGUUGUAUUGGCAUUAGAGGUAAAAGUCAUAUAGGAAGAAACUUCCAAAAUUCCAAAUUCCAAAUUCUUAAUUAUCCUUUGUGGAAUAAUCUACAAAUUAAUGAUUCUAUGCCGCUAGAUGAUAUGAGAUCAUUUAUGAACAAUGACGUGGUUAUGCCUACAAAUUAAUAAUCUACAAACUAAUUUUCCAACCAUAAUAAUUCACACUUAAUAAUAAUAUAUGAACAGUGGCUUGGUUAUGUCUACGAAAGAAGACUAGGACCAUAAUAAUUCCCACUUAAUUUUCCUUCAUUUCUUCUUCUUCUUCACCAAAAUUGACUUACAAAAAGCUUUAAAGUAGACUUCAAAGUAGAGUGUUGUAAUAAAGCUAACAAUUUACUCUUAUUUUUUUUUUUUUUUAAUGUUUACUUUUAUGAAACUAUAUGAAAAAGCAUAACAAAAGUUAUUGCAUAAAAAAUAUUUUUUAAGUGUAUUGGUGGUCCAUUUGUAAGUGUAAUGUGAAUUCUAUUAAUUUUUUUACUUAAAAAUAUCAAUUUUAUUUUCUUUUUUUAAUCUAUGUAUCUUAAAAUCUUAUUUUAAAAAAUAAAAUAUAAGUUUUUAAGGAAAUCAAAAUAUGAAAAUUAAACUUUGGGUUAACUUUUUUUUUUCAAUCACAUGAUUUUAUCUCUACGAUAUAAUGAAAAGAAAAGAUGAUAUAGAGUUUAAACCCAUAUUAUCUAAAUGCCAAACGAAAACUCUUAUCAUUACUCUAAAUAAGUCUUCACCAAUCAAAUCAUUUUAUUAUAACAAUUGAUAAACUUGUUUUUAAAACUCUUAUAAUUGAUAAACUUUUAUAAUGUACAAAGUAAUAAAUGAAAAAAAAAAUGUUGUCCUAAUAUCCAAUGAAUUUACGAGUUCUAACUAGUAUCAAGAAAAACAAGCUUUAAAAAAAAAGUAAUGGAUAAAAAUUAUGUGAAGUGUAGCUCUCUUUUCCACUAAAUCGUCCAUUUUAAGGGGGGAGGGGGGUGGGAAUUCAUGUUCUUCAGCACCUUACCUUUGUAAUCAAAUUUAAACCCAUUAAUGAUGAAUAUCCAUUUCAUGGUAAUUCAUUUUUUAGGAAAUGGAAUCUGAUUCAAAUGAAGACUAAAUAUAGGAACCAAGGUGAAGGGUUUGAUGGGAGGGAAUACCAGGACAAAUGGUGUCCUCUAGCUCUUUGGAGUGAAAGAUUAAGGGUGAUUCAAAGGGACCCUUUAUUUCUCUUAUAGAGUUCAAGUUUUAGAUCCACUUUAUUUCUCUUUAAUGGGUUUUCUUAUUUUUGAAUACAAUGAUUUUUUGUGCAUUUUUCCAUCUCCAUCCAAUAAUCAUCUGAAGAGCCACAAUUCAGCUUCACCAGACUCCAAAAUACCCAAAUUCACAAGGAGGAGAGGGCCAUACGGUCCCCAACCUAGGUCCCACCCCUUUCGAACACGGCACACACAAUCUAGGAUUCAACCACCAUUGGGAUUCAAUCACAAUCCACCCUUCUUUGGAUGAUUUUACAAAGAGAACGAAGCUUAGCAAGAAACAAAAUUUCAUCAAUCGAUAACCUCUUCUUAUUGAACACGAGCUCGUUGCGAGCCAACCAAAUGGACCAAAGAAAAGAAGCGGCGCAGAUGAACCACCAUUGCUUUAACAAACCUGCAAAAUUCAUGUUAAAUAGCUUAAUUACAUUUUAAUUAAUGGGUAUACUACAGAAAUUGUCACUAAACUAUGGUUCAAAUUAUGUUUCGGACAAUCAACAAAAGUGAUUAUUUAUUAUUAUUUUUUGUCAGCAAUAAUUUUUUAUUUUAUAUAUUUUUAAAUUUAUUAUUUUUAUAUAUUUUUGUUGUUUAGAUUUAGGAUCAAAUUGAGAACACUUGUAAAUUUUGAGGGCUAAUUUUUUAAAAUCAUGACUAAAUUGAUAUAAUAUGUAAAAGUUGUGGGCUAAAUGAUUGAACUAUACAAUGUGGGUGCUUAAAUUGCAAACUUUUUAUUUUGGGUGCCUAAAAUAAAAAAUUUUGAUAGUUGGGCUUGACAUUUUUUUGUAAUUGGAAUGUUUUUUUUUUAAUUUGGACUUUAUUAUUAUUAUUGUUUAAUUUUUUAUUUUAUUUGUUUGUAAUCUGAGCCCGGGCUAAAUUGGGCCUCUACAAUUGCAAAAAAAAAAAAAGGACCCAAGUAGACCCUGAAUGGAUGAUAGAUUAUAAAUGUGUGACUUGUUUACUUCAAUUUAAAUAAAAGCUUGAAUUCUAAUAGAUAAGCAACUAAAAGUUGAUGUGUUGGGUGUAUACUUCUACAUUAUAUAGCAUCUUCCAUAAUAGUGGAAUUUAUAAUCAAAUAAAUGGUAAAUAAUAUCUUCUCAUUGACGUUACAUGAUAGAUAGAAAGUAAUGUGGUCACGAGUCAUUUGUAUUAGUGAUAAAUGACUUAAUUAUCAUUUGUUAGUAAUUAUCUUUUCAUGAAGGAAGAUUAAUAGUUAUCACUAGAUAAAAUAAGAUCGAAGAGCUAAGUCAUGAUAUUUUAAUGGUUGUAAUUAAUAGAUGAAAAGUCGAAAUUUAAUUACAAAUUAUUUUAACUCAUAUUAUAAAUGUUCAGUCAAUUCCCCUGUAGCUCGAGACAACCAGAAACGACAAAUUACAUAAACUUUUACCCAUUAAUUCCAUAAACUCCAUAUUUGAAGUUUUAAUACAAUUUCACUUACUGCACGGCAUACACGUGCUUGUGAAAAAAACUUAUUUCUCCAUUAUUUAAUAUGUAACUUCAUAAGGCAGCAAGCAGCCAUUCAGUCAAGGGCAGAACACAACCCUGUAAUUGGUCCCACCAGGGCAAGUAAAUGUGCUUGUUUGAUCAUCUUUAGGGUAACUGUAAGCAUCGGGGCAUCUUGCCUUGAAGAACCUGG
rnacentral:lncRNA from 1 species